GAAAAUAAGGAUAAUAUUGUAAACUUAUACUAUUAGGGGGGUUUUGCUCAUUAUAAAAACAGCAGGGGGGGAAAUAGUAUAUGUUGAUUACUGUAGGGAGAAAAUUGACAAUUUCCCAAUUUUGUUAUCGCUACGCGCAAGACAGUGUGUGUUUGGUUGUUGGUGGCAAUGAGCUGGAAAUGUUGCUAUUUUAUUGCAACAUACUUGACCCGAGAAAAUGGCCUGAUUUGUUGAGGCAGAUUCCGAUUUGCGAUUAUGCCAUAACCACCGCACCUUUUUAUCUAAAAAGUGAAAUGAAAGUAAAGGGAAUGAUUUUCUAACUGAUUCAAUAAUCUAAUGGGAAAUGAAUUGAUUGUUUAUAAAGAUAUUUUCAGAAGUACAAAUGAAGUAAAUUGAAAACUUUAAUCUAAUUUGAUAUCUUCUUAUUUUUUAAAAAAUAAAAAGGUUGGUAAAAUUUAAAUUAAAUUUUUUGUUUAUUACUUUUGUUUUUUUAAUUAAAUAAAUUUAUUUAAAAUUUAUUCUCUUUAUUCGAAUUUAAAUAACCAACUAAACAAAUAUAUUUGAAAAUCAUUCUAUUGAAAUUCCAUAGAACUUAACUUAGUCUCACGAAUAAUUUGUAAUUCACUGCAAUUCUAGAGAAAUAUUAGUUCUUGUAUUUAAAUUAUUUUAAGGAACUGAAUCGUAAUAUUCUGAAUUUAAUCCAAUCUUUCAUCUGGCUUUGUUGAAUAACUUCUCUUGGAUCUUGAUUGAGCCCCAAUUUCUCCUUAGCGAUUUUCACAAAUGACUUUGCUUUCGAGAUGGAAAACAACAAGGCACCAGUGUGGCUAGAAUGUGUUCCUCACGCCCCUAAGAAAGCAGCUGUACUACAAAUCUACAACGCAUCUGUCCGGAUAGAAAAGAUUAGGUGCAUGACGGUACAUUUAUGCAAAGUGCUUACAUGAUUGAUUGUCUGUUAAGGAAGGUCAAAGGUCUCUUAAAUCAGGAGAUCACAACCAUUCACCAUUGAACAACGGUCUGGAAAUGGGAAAUGGAACUAAUCCGAGCACUGUGCUGUACGCAUGUACUACUCCUGAUCUAAAAUCAGACAGUACUUGGAACAAAAUUUCAUCCCAAUUAAUAAUUAGGAAAGUUUGUAAAGUCAAUCCUGAUAGAUCUCGAUGUAGUGGUUUUUUUCUUGGAAAAAGGGGAAAAAAAAGGGAAAAAGUUUUCUUUUUAAGAGUCCACUCACGGUUAGAGUUGAAAUAUUUUUAGGAUUACGAGUUGAAAUGUUAAAAAACAAUUUAUUUUAUAAGUUUAGAUACAAAUGGUGUUUCGUAAUUUUUUUUUAAAAUUGCUAUUUGGUAGGUUUUUAAAUUUUAAGAAGUUUUUAAAAAUUGAGAAGAGAUUACUUUUUAUAAACAGCUUAUUAAAUAAAUCACCAUAUUUUUUUUAAAAAAUUCUAUUAUAACCUUAAUAUUUUAAUAAAAUAAAAAUUUAAGCUUAUAUUUAUUUUAGUUAUUAUAUAAUAAAACAGAAUUUUUGUAAUAAAAUUUACCAAAUAUAUAUAAUGUGAUUUUUAAACUCAUAGUAACCGUAACAAUACAAUUACCGAACAUCAAUCUAUGUUUUUAAUCAACAGUUUAUUUCAUUCAAACAGUAGAAAUAACUUAUUUCAUGAGCCAUUGCAAUCCCAAACUAGCCCUAAGUCAUUACAUCUAUUUAUUUUUUCAAGUUAAUGAAAAUUUUUAGUCAUUAAGUUAUUACACUAUUUUUUUUUAACUUUUUACUUAAUUUCAAAAAUAUGAAUGAUACCAUUGAAAGAUGUUGUCCAAAAUAUCUUUAUAUAAUUAAUUUAUUUUCAUCCCUUCAUAAAUAAAACUUACUAAUUAGUAUUAUUGCUCAUCUUUAUAACUCGUGAUAAUGUAGUACCAAAUUAUUAUUAUUUUUAUAUUCUUCAAAUUAGCAUUAUUUAUCUUUACAUCUUUUUUGAAUAUUUUUCAUAGAGUACAUCAUAAACUACAAUAAAAUUGAUUAACAUGAUCUAAUUUAUAAUAUCAAAAGGAGCAAAGAUAUCCGCAUAUUAAAAAAUGUGGAUCCGGAUGCAAGUGCAUCCAGAAAAAUAGAUAUUUGAAUUCGGUUAAUCUUAUUUUAAAUUAAAAAUAUAUGUUAAAAUUAAAUUAUAAAUUAUAAAUUAUAAAUUAAAUUUUCUUUGUCGAUUUACGAUGUUGUUGUAUGUUAUUUAUGUUGAAUUAUUAAUGGUUGAAUUAUGAUUGAAUUUUAUUUCAUAUUAUUAAGUAAAUUAUUGAAUUUUAUUUUAAAUUAAAGAUUAAAUUAAAAAUAUAAUUUAAAAAUUAAAUUUAAAAUAUAAUUUAAAAAUUAAAUUUAAAAAUUAAAUUAAAAAUAUAAUUUAAAAAUUAAAUUUAAAAAUUAAAUUAAAAAUAUAAUUUAAAAAUUAAAUUUAAAAUAUAAUUUAAAAAUUAAAUUUAAAAUAUAAUUUAAAAAUUAAAUUAAAAAUAUAAUUUAAAAAUUAAAUUUAAAAUAUAAUUUAAAAAUUAAAUUUAAAAUAUAAUUUAAAAAUUAAAUUUAAAAUAUAAUUUAAAAAUUAAAUUUAAAAUAUAAUUUAAAAAUUAAAUUUAAAAUAUAAUUAAAAAAAUUAAAUUAAAAACUAAAAACUAAAUUUUAUUUGUGAUUUUAUGAUAUUGUUGUAAGUUAUUCAUGUUAAAUUAUUAAUUGUUGAAUUAUGAUUAAAUUUUAUUUGAUAUUAUUGGGUAAAUUAUUAAAAUUUUAAAUUAUAUAUUAAAUUAUUGAAUUUUGAUUGUUGCGGAUCCGGAUAUUUGGAAUAUCUACCUGCAUCCGUUGUGGAUAUUACCCUCAUUUGGAAUCGCAUAAUUUUUUGGAAAAUUUAAAUAUAGAAAUGUAAAUUCGGAUCCAAAUUUUGUCAACCCCACACCCUAAAACCAAACUUCUUAGAAAUAAUUUUGUACUCAUUACGACCUUGAUAACCUUGUUUAAUUACAGAAUACAUUGGUUGCACUAUGUUAGCAUGUUAGAGAUAGAGCUUUUAACCAAUUAAAUAUGUCAUUUGGAUAGGUCAAAUGGUCUUACUAUGAGUACACUCACUUUAAUUUACAGAAUAUUAUUUUAAAAUGAAAAAACUUCCUCAAUAGGCCUCUAAGGUGCUAUUAGUCAAGUAGUUCUCCUCAUGAUUACUGAUUCACAAACCAAUAUUUUUUGGGAAAAUAUCCACCGUCCACCUAUUUUUUCCAACUUUAUCAAAAAUACACAAUUUUUUUUUUUGGUUGGAAUCCACCUAAACUUACGUUUUGUUUCACUUCUCCACUUCCGUUUGCUGCCCGUUACGAAAACUAACAGAUUCUUAGUCAAAUGACUAUUUUGCCCCCAGAACAAAAAUAACAAUUUCACCCUAAAAAAAAACAAAAAAUGGCAGUUUGUUAUUGUAGCCGUUAGCUGCCAACAGCUACAAUUUGGGGCAUAUAAACACAAGAAUUAGCAUGCAUGAAGAGGCCACCCAUGCAAGCUGCUCCCAACCAGGCAUAUAAACCUCCUCAUACAACCAUAAUCCAUAACACAUCAUAACUGUACCAUUCAUCAUAACACAUUGAAAUAUUACAGCCACUCAACCAUUCAUUCAUUCAAACUCAAGACCUGCUCAACCAUCAUCCACACAUCACUUGAUUAACCAUUCAUUGAAACACAUCAUCUACACAUUUAAAAUGGCAUCAAGUUAUAGUUCAAGUUCUGUAGCCAGUGGACAGCCACAGAGAAAAAUUAAAUGCAUUCCCAAGUACUGCUGGUGUGGCAUGCAGGCGUGUGCUAUGGUUUCCACUACACUACAAAAUCCUAAUGCAAUGUUUUAGUCAUGCAGGUUGAACAAAUGCAAGUUUUGGCAAUGGUUUACUACUGAAGCUCUCAUAUACCCUAGUAGAAGUGAUCAAAUGGUAGAUAAUCAAAAUUUGGAGCUAAAUACAGUAAACUUUGGAGCUGAUGAGAUGGUGAAGAUAAAGAAAAGGCUUAGGCUGAUUGAAGGAAAGCUUAAAUAUAUAAUAAUACUGCUAGUGUGCCUCUGUGCAAUUGUAUUUAUUAAAAUGUAAUGUAUCCUAUAAAACAUGCAUUACUGAAAUAAAGCUUAUUGUUGACAGUCCUAGCAUCUAUCUUUGCAAUUCCAUUUAAAUACACCUUAAAUAACAUUUUGUUAACCACAAUAAUUGGAAAAUAUUAUCAUAUCAUAGUUAUCCAAAAGUACAACCAAAAUAACCAUUAAUCAUAUCAUCAAAUUACAUUAUAAAUGACCUUUGACAGCCACAUAAUUAUCCAAAAUAACCAGUAAUAUGCCAAAAUAACAACCAAAAUGGCAAGUUAACAAGUUUAGUUUGUUUAAACAAGUUUAGUUUGUUCCCAUUACAAAGAACUUGUGAUAAUUGAAGCUUGAGAUGGAUUUUGGGAUUGGUUCAGUCCUGGACUUGAUUGUCUUUCCCUUGUUCCAGCACCUCGAAGAGCCCUUAUUUUCUUUGUUCCAGCAUUUGAACUUUGACCUGGGCCACUAGGUAUCUAAAUUAUCUAUUAUGUUAGUUUAAGAACUUGAACAAAAAAUACAAAAAUGUAUAAAUAUUGCACUAAGAUAACACAUUUCUUGCUGUUUCAGAUGUAGUAGCUGUUGGCUGGCCUGAACCAAUUGACUUUGCUACUGCUGCCUAUAAAAUAUGUUGAUUUGUAAAUGAAUUUUAUAUUAUACAUAAAACAAACUAUGAAGGCACAAACAAACUGCUAGCAGCACCUGUUUUCUUCUCAAUCUUCCCUACUGUGAAGCAUUUAAUGGCUGGCUUGAUGUUGUUGAUGCCUACAAACCAUUAUGAUAGUAAACAUAACGACGGUAUAAAUAUAUAAAACAUAAUAAAUAAUAAUAGUAUAUUAAAUAUACCUCAAAAUUAUUGUUAUACCUGAAAAUUAUNNNNNNNNNNNNNNNNNNNNNNNNNNNNNNNNNNNNNNNNNNNNNNNNNNNNNNNNNNNNNNNNNNNNNNNNNNNNNNNNNNNNNNNNNNNNNNNNNNNNACCACAAAAUGAGCAAAUGACAAAGAAUUUUCUUUUCUUUUCUCUUUCUGAGGCUCAUUUACUGCUCUUUUUCUGGAUUUUUUGGGCCUUGCAAUAUUUCUUUCAACAAUUGGUGGGUCAAUCAACGGCCUUCCUGUAGGCUCCCAUGUACACUGAUCUGGAAGGGGGCUGAACAUCACUGAAUAAGUGCUAAGGUAAGCUUGUCUGCUAAAGCAAGUUGGAACAUAUUCCUGAACUUGAUGUCUUGCAUAUCCCAUGGCAGCCAUAGCAUGUUCACAAGGGAGGCCAGCAAUUUCCCAAUAACCGCAAUCACAUGUGCUAGAUUCUAGCUUCACAACAAACCUCCUAAGUGGAUUAUAACCUCUAUCUAUGACUUGAAAAUUAAAAUCACUAGAAGCUUGUACAAUCAUCUUCUGUGCAAUCUUUUUUUUUUUGUCCAAGUCUUUCAAAACCUUAGGGGUCAGCUGUUUUUUCCAAGUGGCUGCCUCAUUUCUUCUUUUUGUAAACCGUUUCAUAAGUCUACAUCUUAUUUCUUCAAGCAUUGUCAAGCAAGGUCUGUCUCGGUAAGCUAAUAUCCAGCAGUUGAAGCACUCCGAUGCAUUGUUAUCGGUACGAUCUACCAUGCAAUUUCUGUCAUAUGUGUGCAUCGACCAAUUAUAACUAUGUAGUUCUCAUUCCAACCACUCAAAUGCAGCUUCUUUUUCAGCCUUGAUCUCUGUCAUUGCCUCGUCAAAAUCAUGCUUGUUACUGCUCUUGGCAGCUUUCCAAAAUAAUUGUUUCAACUGUGCACCAGCAAACGACUUAGAAAAAUUAGCAUAAACAUGCCUAGAACAUGCCCUAUGAUAGGCAGUAGGCCAAGUGGUUGAAAUUGCAUUAAUCAACCCCUUUUGUCUAUCACUAAUGAAAGUGAACUGCCUUCCAUCAUCCAAAUAAUUAUUCAAGUUCUCCAUAAACCAUCCCCAUGUCUCUGUAUUCUCAAUCUCACAAACACAUAGUGCUAAAGGGACAAUCUCAUUAUUGCCAUCUAUGCCAACAACAGCUAACAACACUCCACCGUACUUACCUUUUAAGUGACAUCCAUCUACUCUAAUAAAAGGUCUACAGCCGUUAAGAUAUGCAUUUUUUUGUGCUGGAAAGGCAACAAAAAACCUUUGGAAUAAUACUUUAUUAGGAAUAAAAAUAGCAUCACAUAACACCUUGCAUAUUGCUCCUGGAUCAACCUUGUGAAUGGCAGUAGCAUAGUCAAAUAAUUUCUGAUAUCCCCUCGAAUGAUCCCCAAAUACCUCAAGUCUUGCCUUUGCUCUAGCCCUAUACAGUGUCAGCUUCCCAAUCUUUAAACUAUACGUCUCUUGCACAUGAUUCUUCAGAAUAUCAAUCUUGACAUUAAGGUCAACAACAACCUGACCAUUUAUUUUAGAAGCAACCCAAGCAGAUGUAACUUUUACUGUCUUGUUAGUAAGCCUACACUCGUGGUUUUUGUUGUAUUCUCGCAAUAUAAAACCAGUCCCAUCAUUCAGCUUUGCACCAGACACGUACCAUGGAUAGUUAGCUUCUUUACAAGUACCUACGAAUCGUCUUGGCUCACUAUAUACUGUUUUAAUGGCAAACCUUUUUCUAACCAUUACCUUAUGCAAUAUCUCCCUAAAAUGACCAACAUCUCUAAAUACAUGCCCUAAUUUAAGCCUAUGUUUCCCAUCGGCACCUACUUUGUACUCAUGUUGCUGUAAGUAAUUAGUUAAUUGGACAAUGCCUAGCUCAACAUCAUCAUCAGAAGAAUCAACCAGUCUUCUUACCUCUUUAUUAGCAUCAGACAGAUUGUCAUCUGAAUCGGAUUCCAAGUCGCUGCUUUCACCCCUCUGAUGAUCUCCACUGUCCUCACUACCCUCGUCAAUAAUAGGUUUAGGUUCAACAGCACCAUCAAAUUCAGUUUCUAUGAAUUCCAUAUUAACAUCAUCAUCAUCACUAUCAGCUCUUCUGUCUGAAUAGUCAGAUAGCCAUGCAUCCUCAUUAGAUUUAUCAGCCCCAACAGCAACUUGUUCCCCAACAGCAGCUUAUCUCCCGACAACAGUUUGUCCCCCAACAGAAGCAUUUCCAUCAACAAAUUCAUUCAACUGAGUAAUUAAUUCAUCAGGCAACACAACUCCCAGGUUCGUUAAUAAUGCUUACAGUAAGGAGGAAUCUUGAAACUGAGGGUGAAGAACUGGUACAACUUCAACAGUUAAAGUACUGACACCCACAAUCUGAUGAAUUUUACGCAAAAAUUCGAGUGCAAAUUUUGAAUCCAGUGCAACUUUCAUCUUAUUCUCCGGGUUCGUGGCAUUCAACAUAAUUUUUGAAGUGGAGUCUAAUCCAUAUGGACUCGUAAUGUUUACAGCAGCCUCUUUUAUCUUCGCAACAGUACAAUCAGGUUCAAGCAACCCUAAAUUCUUCCUCGUGCCUCGAAAGAAUAUCACUAACUCUAGAGGUGGCAUCCUGAAUGUUCAAAACAAACGAUCAGAUUCACCAAAGUAACAAACAUCCUGGAGGACUUUGUCAGAUUAAAAAUUAUAAUCUUUGAGAGAUUCAAAUUUCACAUGCAUAUGCCAAACCUUCACCAGGGGGGCUAGGGCAUAUAGAUAAAUAUUUUCUAAAAAUCAUGACCCAUAGUGUAGCAACUACAAAUUUUCAAAAACCCCAAAUUUUGUAAACCACGUGCACAAGUACAUGAGUAUGCAGGGGAUAAACAUGCAUUCAACCAUGCUAGCAACAAUCUUUCUUCCAUGUGCUUCUCACCAGCCUUAAAACAACAUAUUACUUCUCAAUUUAUCAUUACCAUAAAAAAAUGGACUCAAUUUACUAUAAAUCAACUUAAUCUGUAUUCUAGGGUUUCAAGAAACAACAAUUAACAACGGUCUUGAUACAAAUCUUAAAUAACAUUAUUUCAUACGAAAAAUAAAUGAAAAUUAAUAAAUAAAACUAAACUUACUUGAUACUAUCUUCAAACCCCAGAAAACCUAAGUGUCGAGAUUUCUAAACCGCUCACAGCUUCCCUUAAUACCUCUGAAUCUUUGACUUAACAAAAGUUUUGAUACUCAAGCGUUGUUUGUUGAUAAAAAUCGAUGGAAAUUGCAGAAAGAAUGGCAGGAAUUUGUUGGUUCUUCAUGCAGGGUGGUGGUGGGUCACUCGUGAAUAAACAUGGUUGUUCUCGUUUGCUUCUCUGGACCACUUUGUCUUGUUGUAAACGACGUCGUUUUUGGCUGCUAUGCUGAAAUGACCGAUUUACCCCUACAACAUCAGUAAUGUUAUAACGGGCAGCAAACGGAAGUGGAGAAGUGAAAUAAAACGUAAGUUUAAGUGGAUUCCAGCAAAAAAAAAAGAAUUGUGUAUUUUUGAUAAAUUUGGAAAAAAUAGGUGGACGGUGGAUAUUUUCCCAUAUUUUUUUUACUUUAAAGUACCGAUGUUGCUCAACAAAUCCAAUGGUCUUUAUGAUGUAGGUUUAAGAGACACACUUUUAAACACAAAUUUAUAUACAAUAUUAUGACCAUUGGAUUAGAGCUAAUUAACGGUUGAGAUUAAAGUAGAUAUGACUUUUUUAAUUUUAAAAACUAACAAAUUAAUGAUGUGGCUUCCCAUAUAAUAAUAAAUUAUUGCUCAUUUUUCUCUUUUUUAGCUAAUUUAUUCUCUCUUUUGUCAUUUAUAAUAUUAAUCGUCUCUCUUAUAAAAACACCAAAAGUAAAAAACUUUCAUAAACCUAGGAACAAAUCAUCACAUCCAAAAAGAAAGAAAAUUGAGUGAAAUAACCAAGGUAAUAAUCAUUUAUUGUUUUUUUCUCCUCAUUGUCGAAUUUUAAUCUUGUUUUAUUUAGUUUUUGUUAAUCCAUUUUCAUCAAAAUUACAAUUCUAGAUGGGAAAUCAAAACUGGAUCAAGCUAUGAACAUUGAUGCUGAGCAUUAAUUUUGUAAGUUUUAUUAUAACUUCUUUUUCCUAUAUUGUUCGUUAGUUGCUUGUAAUAGAUAACAUAUCUUGUGUAGAAGGAAGAUACUACAACAAAAAGGGUCAUUUCUAGGGGCAAAUGCCCUCAGAAAUACACAUAUGCCCUAAAAAAAAUAUUAAGCAAAAUUUUCGAUGAGUCAUCUGAUAAAAAAAAAAUUUCCGAGAGCAUUGCUGUCGAAACGGAAUUAAAUGCCCUCCGAAAUAAGAUAGGGUACACCUAGUUAUUUUUAUUUUCAAAUGUAACUUGCGCUCAAAAAUAAAAGAUAAUUGGAAAUAUAUUUCUCUUUUUGUACAGUGACCCCUGUAUUUUAUUUAAUAAUAAUGUUAUUUUAUUUUUAUUUUUGAAAUUUCUAUAUUAUGAAAGUAACAUAACAAAUAUAAUAAUAAUGCACAAAGUAUACUAAAUGUAACUUCAUUAAUUUCAAAAGUUCAUAAAAGGACAUCUAUCAUUCCAAAAUACAACAAAAAUAUCAAUUUUAUAGUAUCUUUUACAUUAAAAGUAUAUAUAAAUGGUAUCAUCAUAUCUUGAAUAUGUUCAAUCAUCCUCUACAAUAGCUUCUUCAUUUUCUGAAUCGUUUGCCUCGACAUCAUCAUUUUUGUCCCCAUUAUCUCCAUCAUCAUCGCCAUCCGUCAAAACAAUAUCCUACAUAAAAGAAGAAAUUUUUAAUCAUUAUUAUUACCAAAUCAGGAACUGCUAUAACAAUCUAAUAAAGAAACUAAGACUAAUGAGAAUUUAUACAACUAAAGAAAGUAUAAUAAAAAAAAUCUAUAUAUAUGAAUAAAAUCUUCAUUCCAGAAAUAUUUUCCACUCAUCCACAGGUAAACCUUGAUCUAUGACAGUUGAUCUUAUUGCUUCCAUGGUUUCUUGUAACAAGUAUACAUGUUUGUGUAAGUGCAUAUAGCAAUGAAAUCAUGCAAAUAAAUGAGGAAUAUUAUGAAAAUUUAAUAUCAAAUACACACAUCCAUUUCCUUUGCCUUGUUACUUGCCCAUAUUCCAUUAUUCCUUACAUGAAACAAUUUGAAAUGCCCAUAUUCCAUUAUUCCUUACAUGAAACAAUUUGAAUAAAUCAAUUGGACUAAGUUCACUCCCCAUUUGUUGCUGCAACAAAGAAUUGAAAUAAAAUAUGGUUAUAUUAUAUAAGUAUGUAAACACCACAAUCAUUAUAAUCAAAGUCAACCAAUUUCUCUUACCACUUCUCUUCUAUGCAUAGCCAUUAGGACCGAACCUGUAGUAUGAAUAAGUUUUGACUUGGCUCGAUUCCUCUUGUUCGAUGUGCUCAUCUUCCCCUCUCUCUCUCUCUCUCUCUCUCUAUAUAUAUAUAUAUAUAAUAAGCAUGAAAUAAACUUAGUCAGAAAAUUUAUAUACAUGCAUGAAUGAAUAUUCUUAAACUGACAGUGAAAAAGGUUGCUCAAUUAACAUAAAAGAUUACUCAUUAUUAUUACCAUCCACCCCUCAUCCAUCCAUUUGUCUCCAUAUCAUUGGAGGCACAUUCUCUGGAGCAUGUGCAUAACGCUCUCCAAUGGAGGUAUACUUUUUUAAAAUUGUGCCUCCUAAGCUCUGACAUCCAAUUAAGAAAAUGAAUUUUCACAUGAAGUUCUAAUAAUUUGUAAAAAUUUGAUGCAUCAUUGUUAAGAUGUUGGGACAAACUUUCAUCAACUAGGCCAAAUAUAUCAUCAUCAUCAUCAUCAUCAUCAUCACUAUAAUAUCACCAUCAUCAUUAUCACCAUGACUGUCACUGUUGCUAUUUCUAAUUUCCCCAUGACAUAAGAUUUUUUUUAUCCUAAUAUUUAAUGUGCCUAAAAGCAUAAUUAAGAAAAUUGUUCACUCUACUAACAUAUUUACUCGUGGAUCUUUGUAAUUGCAUCCAUGAUUUAUCAACCAACAUUUUAACUUCAAUCAAAAGAAAUAUAUGAAAAGCAUAACAAUUAUGCAGACAGCAACACAGUAGCACUCAAGAUAUAUACAACAUCAUUUAAAGAAAUAGAAGCCUGACAGAUUCUUAGAGAAUCAGAUUCUGACCUGCAGAAUGUCAUCAAGAAGGCAGCCACCACAAAGCAUAGAGCUACUUCGUAUAGUAGUACAACAAUCAAUACAUGUGAAUAAGUGCUUUAAAAAGGCUGGAAAUGCUUAGAAAAGAAAUCAUUGCAGCAAGCUAGGAAAAGUUAAAAAGCUUAAUAUAUUAAGUUCAAAGCUUAAGAAACUUGUUCUUGAUAUUACUAUUGAAUUUUAUACACACUUUCAAAAAAAAAAAAAUCUUAAGCACGAAAUUCAUCUCACAAGUUAUGAUACAAACUUUCUUAUCACUUUAAUAUGAUACAACCAAACCAGUAAUACUAAUUAUUUAAAAUGAGGAUGCACUGAAAGGGAGGCAGAAAAAAAAGAAAUACAACUAGUUCACUACAGAUUGAAUUUUAUCUCCUUGACAACUCCUCUGUUUUUAUGUUCCUUUUUAGUUUUUUGGUAUACACAAAAAUGAAAAUACCAAUAUACCAAAUUCAUGCAGCAAAAUUCAAAGUACAAAGUUAACCAUCACUUUGAUAUAUCAUUUACUUACAUUUUUUUUAGUCAUGUUUAAUUUCUAAAAAGUAACUAUCAUUCUUGUAAAGCAUUUAAUUACUCAUCAGAAUGUCACCAGAGACACGUCUCUUUUUUUAGCAUCAGCCCAUUAGUUAGCUCUUGCAAACAAUUCUAUAUACACAUGACAUCCCAAAUGUUUAUUUCAUUUCAUCUUCCUACAACUCCUCAAAAUUAACAAAUACCAACAUCCUCUGGAGUCCAAAUCAGAUCACAAACAAUGAAUUCUAAAUAAUUAGCAUCACAUGUAAGAGCUCCAAAAUAAAAAUUAAAAAAGAUGUAAUAGCAUCACGGGACUUAUAGGAAGCUACCAUUUGGCCUAAAACAAAAUCGGAAGCAGCAAAAACAAAUUAAAAACAAAAUUUGAAGCAGAAAGUGAGUGAUUACGUAAGAGAUGGUAACAAUUACAAACCUAGGCGAAAUAACCAACCUUCAGACUCAUCAAUGAUGGAAACUAUAACUUGUCCCUAAGUUAAUUGAAGGGGAAAAAAAGAUGAAAUUUGGGGCCAACGCUACAAUACCCGCAUGUAUCACAUACAUGCGGGUAAUAAAAAAAUUAAAAACAUAUGGCCAUUGUUUGGCUGCCACUUGGCAGCCAAGUAAAAAAAAAAACUUGGAGCAACUGGUAAAGAGCAACCGGUUGCUCCAUAAAUUAAUAUUAAAUUAUGAAAUAAUAUAAUAAAUAAAAUAAUAAUAAAAUACUAAUUAUUUUAAUAAUAAAGGCAACAUAAUAAUAAAAAAUUAGUUUCAAGUUUAAUGGUAGUUGUUUCAUAUUUAUUGGUCCAUUAAUCGGGAUUGCAAGUUAAUGAUCCUAAGUUUUAUGUUCAUUGCCUUCAGUUUCAAGUUCAUUGCCCUCAGUUUCAAGUUAAUUUGAUUUCAAAUUUAAUGGUCACAGUUUCAAGUUAAUGGUAAGUGUUUCAUAUUUAUUGGUCCAUUAAUUGGAUGAUUUUUGGGAUUGCAAGUUAAUGAUCUUAAGUUCCAUGUUCAUUACUCUAAGUUUCAAGUUUCUUUGGUUUCAAGUUUAAUGGUCUUAAUUUCAAGUUAAUGGUAGGUGUUUCAUGUUUAUUGGUCCAUUAAUUGCAUGAUUUUCAGAGUUGCAAGUUAAUGAUUCGAAGUUUCAUGUUCAUUGCUCUAAGUUUCAAGUUUCUUUGAUUUCUAGUUUAAUGGUCCCAGUUUCAAGUUAAUGGUAAGUGUUUCAUGUUUAUUGGUCCAUUAAUUUGGGGUUACAAGUUAGUGAUCUUAAGUUUCAUGUUCAUUGCCAUCAGUUUCAAGUUCAUUUGGUUUCUAGUUUAUUGGUCCUAGUUUUAAGUUAAUGGUAGGUGUUUCAUGUUUAUUAGUCCAUUAAACAGGGUUGCAAGUUAAUAAUCCAAAGUUUCAUAUUCAUUACUCUCAGUUUUAAGUUCAUUUGGUUUCAAGUUUAAUGGUCUUAGUUUCAAGUUAAUGGUAGGUGUUUCAUGUUUAUUGGUCCAUUAAUUGGGGUUGCAAGUUAAUGAUCUUAAGUUUCGUGCUCAUUGCCUUCAGUUUCAAGUUCAUUGCCCUCAGUUUCAAGUUAAUUUUGUUUCAAAUUUAAUGGUCUCAAUUUCAAGUUAAUGGUAGGUGUUUUAUGUUUAUUGGUCCAUUAAUCGAGAUUGCAAAUUAAUGAUCAUACGUUUCAUGUUCAUUGCCCUCAGUUUCAAAUUCAUUUGGUUUCAAGUUUAAUGAUCUCAGUUUCAAGUUAAUGGUAAGUGUUUCAUGUUUAUUGGUCAAUUAAUUGCAUGAUUUUCGAGGUUGCAAGUUAAUGAUGCUAAGUUCCAUGUUCAUUACCCUCAGUUUCAAGUUCAUUUGAUUUCAAGUUUAAUGAUCUCAGUUUCAAGUUAAUGGUAGGUGUUUCAUGUUUAUUGUUCCAUUAAUUGCAUGAUUUUCGGGGUUGCAAGUUAAUAAUCUCAAGUUCCUUUGGUUUCAAGUUUAAUGAUCUCAAUUUCAAGUUAAUGGUAGGUGUUUCAUGUUUAGUGAUCCAUUAAUCAGGGUUGCAAGUUAAUGAUCCUCAGUUUCAAGUUCCUUGCCCUCGGUUUCAAGUUCAUUGCCCUCAAUUUGAAAUUCAUUUAGUUUCAAGUUUAAUGAUUCAGUUUCAAGUUAAUGACAUGUGUUUCAUUUUUAUUGGUCCCGUGUUUCAUGUUAACCAAUUUUUCAGGUUUUCAUUUCUUUCAUAUUUAAUAAUAAUAAAAAGUCUCAGCCAUUCGAUCUACUCCAAUUUAAUCCAAUGGCUAUUUUUUAUGGCUAUUUUUUAUGCAUAUAUGAGAUAGUAGCCGCACCCGAAAUUUAGUGCAAAUAAAGAAAGUAAUAGUGAAAUAAAUCCCGAAGUGACUACACGAGCAAUGAAGAAUGAAGAUUUGAAAAGUGAGAGAUGUGAGUGCUGGUGUGCAAUGAUUGAAGAUCUUUUCCUUUUUUUUUCUUUCUUUUUGUUCUCUUUAAUUUUUUUUCUUUUUAAUUAGGUUCUUUUUUCGUUUUCUUUUGAAAAGUGAGCAAUGGACAUGUUUGAUGUUGUCCGUUUUAAUUUUUUUUUCCUUUUGUUUAUUUUUUUGAUCUUUCUGUAUUUUCUUAGCUUUUUAUUUGUACUUCAUUCUUUCUGGUUUUUUAUUUUACCAAGUGUAAUUAAAUUUACAAGAAAAUUUUUUUUCCAAGUAUCAGCGUGAUAUUAUUGGAAGUUAUAGUUGUGGGCUCGUGGUUUUAGUACUCUACUUCAAAGAUCGGGGCCGAAGUGUGUAAAUUUUAGAGUGCUUUUCUUUAAAGAAAAUACAUUUUCAUUCUUUAGAAACAUAGAACAAAUUAUGCAUUAACUAUUAUUUGAAUCAUUAUUAUUGGGUAUAAAACACAAUUUCUUUUGACAUUUUUGUAGGUAUGUCAAUGACGUAAAAAUAAUUUGAUAACGUUUUUUAUCGUGGUCAAAUUUUAGAGUGUAGUUCUUUUAUUAUCAACUACUUUGGGAAUGGGAUGAUGAUUUUUUAGUAGUGGUACUUGCUGCCAAAUUUUUUAUUGAUUAGAUACAUUUAAAAAAAAAAAUUCGUACUUGGUGCCUCCGGAUUUUCUUUUUUAUUGAACACGUUUGAAUAUUAAAAUAUCAUUUUGUAAGAGAUGAUCUAUUAAUAAUAAUUUUUUAUUAUUAUUUAAAAUUAAAAUUAAAUUAGUUCUAUUAGUUUUUAAUGAUCAUAAUUAGUUCAUGUCAACUUUAAUCUCAAUACUUAAUUAGUUCUAAUUUAAUGAUCAUAAUAUUAUGUUUAAAUUUAUAUUUAAAAACGUGACUUUUGAACAUAUAAUACAUUUAUGUUUCACUUAGAUUUGCCAUGUAGUCAUAUUAGCUGAAGUAACAAAGUAACGAAGCUCCCACUAUAUAUGGUUUUGUUCCAAGUUAAAGUACAUCCAUUGAUUUUACAAUCCAUUCAAAUCCGAUGAUCCUUAAUAUUUUUGUGAUUAUUUAAUAAAGCUGAUCCACCUAUGCAUCAGAUCUAUUGUAGUCGUGGCAAUAUAUGUGCAUGCGUGUGUCUGUCUAUACACACACACAUAUAGUGACCAUUCAAUUAAAGUAAGAAAUAAAUUAAAAGAUAAGAAAAAUACACAUUUUAAUGAUAGUAUAUUUUAUCAUGUUGUAUACUGAAAUAUGUAUUUCUUUUUUCACCUUUCCCUUAAAAUAUUAAAGUAAGCGAAUUUUUCCUCUCCCUCUUCAUAUAUAUAUAUAUAUGGGGAAACCUGUGGUGCAACUGUGGCACAGUACCACAGUUGCACCGUAGUCUGAUCCUAUAUAUAUAUAUAUAUAUAGGAAUCACUUAUUGAAAGAUGGAUAAAAUAUACACUCCAAUUUAGUGUAUUUUAUCUUAUAGUAUUAAAAUGUAUAUUUUUCUUUAUCUUUUAAUUUAUCUGUUACUUUAAUAAUUUAAGGAAUCUUUCAUUCAAAAAUAAUAAUUAUUAUUACUUUAUAUUCUCUAAUGAGAAAGUACUUAUUUUAACAAAGUGAAAAUAUUACUAACAGACAAAAAAAUAUGGUUUUAAUAUAUUAAAAUUUUUGUUUCUUUAUAUUUUAAUAACAUUCUUAUUUUGAUAAAAUGAAGAUGAUCUCAUUAGAGAAGGGCUCUUCUAUAUAUAUGAGUUAGGUUUCAUUAAAAACCCUACAUUUUAAUUAAAGUAUGAGAUCUUAAUUGGAACUAUUAAAAUCUUGACAAAAUAAACAUCAUGUGCAGAUUUAAAAAUAAAAUAAAAUAUUAAAUUCCGUACUUUAAAUAAAGUAUAAGAUUUUAAACUUUUAUAUAAUGUCUAUGUGUGCGUGCGUACGUGUGCGUGUGUGUGUGAAGGCACGCUUGCGAGAGAAAAAUAGUAAGGGAACGACAUUUUGGAUGUGCGCGUAUAAUUGCAUAGAAUCAAUCCUGAGAUGAACUUGACCUGACAAGCGCUCUGUUUGAAUGAAUAGCAUAAUCAGCGAAUGAAUAGCAUAAUCAAUGUUGAAAUGUGGGAUCACCAAUGUGAAACAUGUUCGACUUUAUGACAUAUUGGAGAGUGGAAUGCCCAAUGAUAUAUUGACACGCAAGACAUUAUACACACUAAUCGUGCCCAAUCUCGAAUCUCUGAAACCGCGUUCGAUUGAGCGAAAUUUUUGCCCCUGCGGAAAAAUAAAGCUAAGCACAAGCGCAAAAAAUGUGUGGUGGACAGUGGACGCUGGACACAGAUCACCAAAAAAACAAGGCAAUAAAUUCGAAAUUUCCACAAGAGAGUAGGAUGACUGACCACAUUCAAAAAGGUUAAAAAAUGGUAUUAAUUCUCUUGAUUUUUUUUCUUUUUGAGUUUUUAAUAUUUUAUAUUAUGUGAUAUAUAAUAAUAAUGAGUAAUGAUACAGUUACAAACUCUUGUACAAACUUAUUUUGUAUAAACUGAUAUUGUAUGAUAAGAUUGAUUGAAUUAAAUAUCACUUGACCCACAUGAUUUAUUUUUAUUAAUUUAUAUUUUCAUUCAACCAAUGAAUUAAUGCCAAAUCAGCUUGUACAAAAUAAGUUUGUACAAGAGUUUGUGCCUGUAUCAUUACUCAAUAAGAAUAUAUGAAUAAAAUUUAAUUUUUUUUAUUUUCUAAAUUUAUUAAUCACUAAUUAAAAUAUAAAUUUUUAUUUAGGAGAUAUUUAUAAUAAGGGGCGGGUCUUAAUCUUAAAAAAUUACCACGUACCUAAAGAACAGGCCUCGAUUUGCGGUGCGUAGAUAAUUAUGAUAUUACCAUUCCCCCUACGUCAGCUCGUCUAUAAAUCAGACGCUUUUCUUGAUCACACUCAUAGUAAACUCAAAGUCAAACUCACUCACGCAGGCUAGCCUGUUCAAGAGUAGAAUUUCAAUCCUCAGAAAUAAUUAUUAAAUGGCUGAAAGAAAUGAAGAAGCAGGUGGAGGUGGUGGAAUUGGAGAAGCAGGCCGUGGUGUGUGGAAUGGUAGAGAGUUCAGGAUUCAUCUCCAGGGAAGGAAGUUUGACGAUGUGCAAAUUAGGGUUACACGCAAGGAGAUCAUAAUAACCGAGUGUGGCAGUAUGAAUUUGAUUACGCGUUCCAGGUUGCCAAGAACUGCAAGUAGUCACUCUACUCCUUUCAUGCAGAAUGGGUUUCUCGUUGUUACUUUCGAUAGAGUGAACUUCGCGAAAAAGAUUUGGAAUGUUUUGGUUGGCGGAGCGAUUCUUGCUUGUGACUUAUUCGGUUGCGUAAAUGAUGUUCAAAGUUUUGCGGGCGAUCGCCAACGCAAUCCAGAUGAACAGAGGAAUGGUGACGACGGCCAGUAUCAAUAAAAAGCUGCUGAUUGCAUGCUGACUCUGGGCAGUGAGUACGUGGUUGGAGCCAAAAGGAGGAGAAAAAUUUAGUUAGUUUUGUUCUACAUUCAUUUCACAGCUUGCAUACAUGCCUCGUACGUGUUGAUGUGGUUUGUUGUUUGAGUAAAUAUAAUUGCAGUUGAGGCAUGCUUCAGUCGUAUGUAGUAAUCUAUGAGCUUUCUGUUUUCGUGUCAUAUCAUAAAAAUUUAGCAACGCGGUGUUUGAUAAAACUGUAUUAUUUGAUAAAUUGUGUUGGUAUUUGAUAAACCGUGCUCCCUAGGGAGCACAACUCUAUUGUUCCCCAUUUCUGGGAGAGCAUAAUUUCUACUCUUUAUUUUUGGGGAAGCAUGAUACUGCCAUUCCUGGGGAGUAUGAAUUCUUGGGGAGUAUUAUUCUCACUUCCUAUUCUUAGAGGAGCAUGAUUCUUGCUCCCCAUUCUUGGGGUAUAACACAUUAUUUUUCAAACUCACAGCACCGCAAUAGUACCAUGGUCCCCUAAGAAAUGAGUCCAAAAGUGGAGGAUGACAAAAGUCAUGGAUCCGAGUGGCCUUUAACCCAGUUUUAGAUUAUGGACCACAUAGGAAAAGCCAAGUCAAAAAAGAAGAGCUAUCAUUGAAUCAAGACCAGCAAAAUAAAAGUCGACAAUGGAAGGACAUUGCUUGGUCCAGAAGUAAAUUGAAUAGAGUUUGACACGGAUACAACCUAUAAAAGGGCAUAAAUUUUUGUAAUUAAAAUCCUAGAGGAUAGAGGAGAGUUAGAUAGAGUUUAAGUUAGAAAAUGACUUUAUCUAUGGAAGGUUAUAAAAGCAAAGGUCUCUUAUAGUGUAAGGCACCAAAAAAAAGUAGCAAAGCGAGGGAGAGUUGAGUUGUAAGCGUGAUCUUAAUAAAAUAUUUAUUUUUCUCUGCCCGUGAACGUAGGCCAAAGGCUAAAUCACGUUAAUUUUUUGUGUCUUUUUAUUAUAUCGUCCCCAUAUAACUUAAUUCUCUAGUUGACCAGAAAUCUGCGUAAACAGUUUGAUGCUGUUUGUGGGGAGUGGUAUAAAACUAUUAUUAAGAUCACGUCAAACCCUUAGUAACCAUGAAUCAGCGUAGUUAUUGCAGCCGCAAUAACAAGUUGCCCUCAGUUCCUAGUCCACCAAGAAGGCAGCACAGUAACACCGGGUCACAUCCACCACUCGCGCAGUAAGUGACUGAUUUAACACAGAAUAUGGUCCGGGUUCUCUAGUAUAUAGAGAAUUAGGAACAUAGAGCAAACUCAAAUUUGCCUCUGCGAGAAGAAGAAGGGCUACUGAAUGACUUGCAAAAUACUCUACAAGAUAACAAUAAUAACUAACAAAGGGUUCGUUAGAAAAGCAACCCUACCAGAUUAGGUAGAAAAGCAGAAACUCGUGCAAGUCAUAUUGAUCACCCAAGAGACCUUUGACAUAUGUUGGAAGCCAAGCAGGAUUUACGCUACAAGCUAAACUCAAAACGUUAUCGUAAGAAGCAUGAUUUAGAGGGCUCUAGUGCUAGUACUGGGCCGACAAGUCUUGAAGCAAAAUUGAAAAAGCUUAUGAUACGGGUGGAUGGGAUGGAGAAAAGUCAUGUAGAACCACUCUCAGAGAAGGUAGAACCAUCGUUCACCAAGGAUAUAUUGGAGGCCCCAUUGCUAGCAAAAUUUAAAAUGCCCCAAAUAAAGUUAUAUGAAAGGGAAGGAGACCCAACUGAGCAUCCAGAGACCUUCAAGUCAUGGAUGGAAUUACAGGGGGCAACAUGGGCAGCCAUGUGUAGGGCUUUCUCCCUAACGUUUAUAGGAGCGACAAAUAAGUGGUAUAAAAAGCUGAAACCUAGUUAUAUCUCUUUAUUUACUCAGCUUAGUCAGAUAUUUAUUAGUCAGUUUGUGAGAGCAAGAGACCAUCAGCUUCCUCCAACUCAUUUUAUUAUCAGUGAAGUGGGGGAAAGAUGAGUCAUUGAAGGACUAUAUUGUUCGUUUUAAUAAAGAGGCAGUAAGAGUAGAAAAUUGUAUAGAUGUGGUGGCAUUAAACACCAUAAUGGCAGGCUUGUGCCCAUAAAGAUUCCAUUAUUCACUUGCUAAAAAUGCACCAAGGACUUUUAUUAAGUUGCUAUUGAGAGUUCAAAAAUACUCUAAUGCCGAUGAGCUAACCAAUGCAAAGAAGGGAAAAAAAAUCGAACUCUCAGAGAGCUGGAGAAAAACAGAAAAGGAAAGAUAAACAGGUUAAAAAUCGAGACAAAAGAAGUAAACUAGAAGACAACAAAGGACCAAGAAUCCCACAAGUAGGUACUCUAGGUACACGCCACAUAAUAUACUAAGAGAACAAUUGCUUAUGCAGAUAAGGGACCUAGGCUUGUUGCGGAACCCCAAAGAAAUCAGGACUACACCGAAUCGAAGAGACAAGAGCAAGUACUGUAGGUACCAUGGAGAUCAUGGUCGUAAUACUAAUGACUACUUUGAUCUUAAAGAUGAAAUAGAAUCCUUAAUCCAGAGAGGAUAUUUGAAAGACUUUAUAAAAAAAAAAAAGCGCAAGGAUAUUCAAAAUGAAGCCCUAGCUAAUACGCCACAAAAUAUUACUACAGUAGCACCAGAACAUAUAGAGAACUAAGAUGUUGUAAGAUGAGCCCCUAUAAGAACUAUUUUUGGUGGACUUGCAGGGGGAGGAGAACAGAGCACGAAAAGCUCACGUACGGGAGGUUCGAACAGUACUAAGGGUUUUAUCGGUCAACCUAGUGGGUAAACCCUCAAAAGAGGUUAAGAUGAAAUAUAAUACCAUCACAUUCAUAGAAGAAGAAGCUAGAGGGAUACAUCAUCGCACGAUGAUGCUCUGGUUGUUUCAAUAACUCUAGCAAGCAGAAAUGUUUUCAGAGUCUUAGUGGAGAAUAAGAAUUUAACAAAUAUUUAAUAUGCAUCAACAUUUGACAAGAUGAAUAUAGGAAGAGAAAAACUGAAGCAAAUUCGCACUCCAUUGAUUAACUUUAGUUGAGAGUGCUUAAUUCCUUUGGGUAGUAUAAACCUAUUAGUUACCAUUGGAGAAUCACAUCAUCAAGCUACCAAUAUGGUGGGCUUCUUAAUAGUGGAGCACUCUUCGGUCUAUAAUAUUAUCUUAGGUAGAUCAGUCCUAAAUCUUUUCCGAACAUUAACCUCAACUUACCACUUAAUGAUAAAAUUCCCUGCAGAAACUGGGGUUGGAAUUUUAAGGGCAGAUAAAAAAGAGUCCAGAAAAUGUUAUGCCACAGCCUUAAAGGUCAAAAUGAACAAAUGAGAAUGUCUUCAAGUCAUGCUUGAUCCUAAAGAAGAGAGAAACGAAUAAAAAGGAUCGCUAGUAGAUGAGCUAUACCUCAUCCAAGUGCAGCACAAUGAUCAAAGUAAGACAAUUCGUAUUAGAUCAUCACUAACCCCAAAAAUACAAAAAAAAAAAAAACAGCUAGAAGAUUUUCUUAUAUCAUAGUCUAAUGUGUUCGCAUAGUCUCAUAAAGACAUGCCAGAUAUAGAUCCAGAAGUUAUAGUCCAUCAAUUAAAUAUAAAUCCUAGUCACAAGCCAGUAUGACAAAAGAUGAGAUCUUUCAAUCUAGAAAGAUACAAGGCAAUAAAAGAGGAGGUAGAAAAACUUUUAAAAGAAGGUUUCAUUAUCCAAACGGGUUGGCUAAUGUAGUGAUGGUUAAAAAGCCAAACGGGAAGUGGAGGAUCUGUAUAGACUUCACUGAUUUAAAUACAGCAUGUCCCAAAGACACAUUUCUUUUUCCUAGAAUUGAUACUUUUAUGGAUGCAUAUUUUGGGUAUAACCAAAUUCAUAUGUACCUACCAGAUAGGGAAAAGACAUCUUUCUUCAUGAAUAAGGGGCUGUACUACUAUAAUGUUUUGCCCUUUGGGCUAAAAAAUGUAAGAGCAACUUAUCAAAGGUUGGUCAAUAAAAUGUUUCAUUGCCUGGUUGGAAGAAAUAUAGAGGUCUACAUAGAUAAUAUGCUUGUCAAAAGCAAAAAAAAUGAAAGAUCAUAUCAUAGACCUAGAUGAAGCGUUCAAGAUUUUGAAGCAAUACAAUAUGAAGCUAAACCCAAGUAAGUGCGCGUUCAGAGUCUCCUCAGGAAAUUUUUUAGGGUUCAUGAUAAGCCAGCGAGGAAUAGAAGUUAACCCAGAAAUAAUUCAAGCCCUUCUAAAUAUUAAGUCUCCAAAAUCAAUUAGUGACGUUCAAAGGUUAAUAGGAAGGGUUGUAAUCUUGAAUUGGUUUAUUUCACAAGCAAUAGAUAAACGUCUACCAUUCUUUAAAACCCUUAGAGGGGAGAAAGAAACGGUAUGGAUAGAGGAAUGCGAGAAAGCCUUCCAAUAGUUGAAAAUGUAUCUAAGAAAUCCUUCAAUUCUUUCUAAACCAAUAGCAGGAGAAAAUCUUUAUUUAAAUUGGCCGUUUCAGAAUCGGUAAUAAGUUCAGUAUUGAUAGGAGAAGAAAAUAAGGUAUAGAAGCCAGUUUACUAUGUGAGUCAUGCUUUGUUAGACGUUGAGACAAGAUAUCUGACUAUAAAUAAAAUGGCUUUAGCGCUAGUAGUAUCCGCCAAGAAACUAAGGCCUUACUUCCAAGCUUACACCAUAGUAGACCUCACAAACCAGACCUUGAGGCAGAUAAUGCAACAACCAGAGGUGUGAGGAAGGUUGGUACAGUGGGCUGUAGUGUUGGGAGAGCACGAUAUUAUGUACUGACCUAGAACAAUAAUUAAAAGGCAAGCAAUUGCGGACUUUAUAGCGGAUUCACUGGUAACCAAUUCAAAAAGGCUAGAAUUAGCAAAGCAAUAAUACCAACUUGGAGAUUAUAUGUGGAUGGAUCGUUAAACCAACAAGGGAGUAGAGUAAGGUUAAUUUUAGUCACCCCAGAACAUACAGAGAUAAGCUUUGCCCUCAGGUUUGCGUUUAAGGCCAUGAGGCAGAGUACGAGGCCUUGUUUGCUGGUCUCAGGUUAGCAAAAAAGAUAGAGGCAGAGAAACUAGAAAUUUUUAGUGAUUCACAAUUAAUUGUGAAUAAAGUCAUAUCCAAGUAGCAUGCAAAGGAAAGUAGGAUGUUAGCGUAUCUACAAAAGGUUAAAGAGCUACUAAUGAAUUUUGUAGAAUACAAAAUCACUCAAGUUUUAAAGGAAAAAAAAAAAAGCAAAGCAGAUGCCCUUGCAAGGCUAGCAUCAGCCAUGGAUGCAGGCUUAAAUAAAUUAAUCCUUGUUGAGUUCUUACAAAAUAUGAGUAUUAAUCAUGAGGAGAACAAGAAGAUUAAUCUUGUUAAUACAAUUGGGAGCUGGAUGGAUCUUAUCAUUAGUUACUUAAGAGAUAAAAAGUUGCCUAAUAAUAAGGAUGAAGCAAGGAAAGUCAGGUUAAGGUCAGCACGAUACGUGAUUUUGGGAGAUGUACUAUACAAAAGAGGAUAUUCAUUAUCUUACUUGAGGUGUUUAACGUCUAACGAAGCAAACUAUGUGAUGAGAGAAAUCCCCAAGGGUAUGUAUAGUAACCAUUCAGGUGCAGGGUCGUUCGUGCACAAAGCCAUUUGCCAAGGGUACUUUUGACCUACGAUGAAGGAAGAUUCAUAGAAAUUUAUGGAACGGUGUGACAAAUAUCAAAGGUUUUCCAACAUACCAGGUCAACCCCCAGAACAGCUCACCUGUUGCUAGCCCAUGGCCAUUCACUCAGUGGGGGUAGAUAUCAUCGGUCUAAUGCCUACUAGUAAAGGGUAAACAAAAUUUACAAUUGUGGCUGUAGACUAUUUCACAAAGUAGGCAGAAGGGAAACCUUGGCACAAAUUACAGAACAAAAAACUAUUGGAUUCAUAUGGAAGUCUAUCAUAUGUCAAUUUUUUAUUCCUUAGGCCACUGUGACGGAUAACGGGAAACAUUUUAAUAAUCCCCGUUUCAGAGGGUUAUGCGAAGGCCUUGGGAUUAAAAACUUUUUCUUUUCACCGGCUCAUCCUCAAGCAAAUGAACAGGUCGAAGCUGUUAACAAAAUAAUUAAGCACUACUUAAAGACUAAGCUAGAAAAUCAUAAAAGGGCUUGGGCAAAUGAGUUACCAUUUGUAUUGUGGACUUAUAGAACAACACACACCACAGCAACAGGAGAAACCACAUACUCUCUUAAAUUUAAGACAGAAGAAGUGGUCCUUGUAGAGAUUGGAAUGCCCUUUUAUAAGGUGCAGUAUUUUCAACCUAAGUAUAACUUAGAACAACUGAACCUCAGCCUAGACUUGGUGGAAGAGAAGAAGGAGCAAGCUUAGCUCAAAGUAGCAGCACACAAACAAUAGGUAGCUCGGUACUUCAAUUCAAAGGUGAAGUUAAGAAACUUUCGGGUUGGUGAUCUAGUUCUCAGAAAAAUAAUUCAGAGCGUAAAAGAGCAAAAUGUUUGUGUGCUAAGACCAAAUUAGGAAGGCCUCUAGAGAGUGGUAGAAAUUGUCAGGCCUAGGACUUACUAGAUUGCAGACAUAAAUGGAGUUGUACUUCCACAUCCUUAGAAUGCAGAACAUUUGAGGAUUUACUAUCAGUAAUGAAGCAGCAUUAGUUGGUUUUCUUUUCUAAAAGUUUAGGCAGUUAAUAAAGCUUUCUUAAGCCAUUAGGAAGAUUCUUUUUAUGCUAAUACAAAGUUAUUAUUAGUUUGUAUUUGUGACAAUUUACAAAUGAAGUGCAUCAUUAGCUUAUUCUAGAAUUUCAUAUUACUGUUUAAAAUUUUCUUUUAUUUGAAAGAGGGUAGUCGUGGUCCAAAACGUGUAAGAGAUCAACAAAAAUGUGCAUAAAAGGCAAAAGGUCAUGCCCCCUUGAGAGUAGAGAGUAUGCUUUUAAAAGUGAGUGGGGAGCAACAAUCAUACUCCCUAGGAAGUAAAAAUCAUGCUCUCGACGAGGGAGCAGCAGGAAAAAUUAAUGAGUAUUCCUUACCCUCCUGAGAAAAAAAGAAAAGCAAGAAAAGUAAAAAGAAUUUCUGGAAGCAGAAACCAUGCCCUUAAAAGUAAAGAGCAGCAGCCAUGCUCCUUAUAAAUUAUCCUCCCAUGGAAGCAGCAGGAAAAAUUAAUAGAAAUGCAAGGAAAGUAUCAAUUUUUAUGUUACUUUUAUGAAAAUCCACAAAAGCAAGUAAAGAGCAAAGAGCAGUAAGACAUUAAAAGCAAAUACAUUAAUAUAGACAGCUGGAACAUGCUCAAUUUACAACUUUAUUAGUAGAGCAACCUCAUUGCAAGACCAAGAAAAAAGAAGAAAGACAACAACUAAAAACUAGGGAGAUAAUAUAAGAGGCAGCAUCCCAGACAUAAUUGAUAACGAGCAUCAUCAGUCUUCUAGAAAACAAUAAUCAAGUUGAGGGUAGUGGCUCUCAAUCAUGGCCUUAACCUUCAACGGCUGAAGCCUUCAUACUUGGAAUUUGGAGGUGUAAUUAGUCAAGGGAGUUCGACAGUUCUUGAGCUUGGGACUGGGCAUGAGUUAAUUCUUCCCUUACAGCAUUAUGUUCCAACUUCAAUUGGGCCACAAGAGCUUUCUCUUCACUUAGACACUUCUCCUGCUCAUCAAUCCUUUUUCUAGAAGCUUGGCCUAACGCAAGUAAAACAUUCCUCUCCAACAUCAGACUUUAUAUUUUUCUUUGAUAUUUGAACAACACAACCAAGCUAUAGGAAAACGAACAUAAUUAGGAUCCAACUUCAUAUCAGUAAUGGUAACACAAAAAUAAUAUUAUUACUACCUGAUAAAUAUUAGCAAGCAUGGCUUUAAUAGGAUCAGAGUUCUCCAUUUGCUUCACAUUAUCAACAGAGACAUAUUGAGGCCAAGAUUGAGCAAAAGACCCAGAUAUACUGGAGCAGGAUCUUCCUAAGUAAAGUUCUGUAAACUAUCAAACAAGGGCAAAGUUCUUUGGCUUAGGCCUACUAAAAGAGGUGCAAACAUAAGAGCAUUGGUGGAAGCAAAUGCAGAGCUAGAGCCUGUAGAUUGUGAAUAUGAACUCUAAUGAGUGAAAGUUGGAAAUAAAAUUUCUUACUGCAAUCCUCUAACAGUUGUAGGUGUUUAGUGUGACCCUUGACUAGGUGCAUUCGUAGAAGCAGAUGCAGAAUGAAAGCUAGCAGACUGAAAAAAUGGAGUUUCACGAGUGCAAGAUAAAAGCAGAGUUUUUUGCGGCAACCCAGGUGCAGUUUUAGGAGUUCGGUGCAACCUUUGAACAGUUUCAAUUUCUUGGGAGGAUGAUCCCACAGACUGAAAGAUUGGCAUAUCCUUAAGUUUACUGCUAAUAUUUGAAGUUGGGUAUUUGUCUAUCUUCUUAUUUUUCUAUGCGGUGCAGUCUCCAAGAGUCAUAACUAACAAAAGACAAAAAAAAAAAGAAAAACAAAAUAUUACAACCUCCCAACAACAUAAAUAAUAGUAUGCUUAAAUAAAAUUCACUUGGAUAUGGAAUAUUGGUAGAAGUAGAAGGGAUAAAGCCAAAGGCAGUUAGAAAGCCUGGUUGAGAAAUAUAUUUUCAGGGCUGCAAGCCUAUAGGAUCUUUAAAAACCUCAUUGAUUUGAUGUUGCUCAGCAGAAUUAAUAGAGGUGCAGCCCAAUGACACUGUAAAAAAAAAGACAAAAAAAAAAAGAGUAAGUACGCUAUUAAAGAAAAAGCACACCCUGUAGCAAUUUCUUAUAAAGCUACUUGAAGUAGAAAGGUUGGUUUGAACCCGAUAUCCAGGAUACAUAUUAGGAGAAUUUCCUAACUCCCAAUCCCCAAGGGCGAAAAUCCAAGAAUCUUUCAAGGAACCAUUAUGAGAUUUGCCCUGGGCGAUUAAAGGGGAAGAUUUAGCUCAAGCACGAAUAUAAUAUCAACCCUUGAGAGGGAAGUCUUUAUCACCUAAAGACUCAUUAGUUGGUAAAUUCUCUGAAACUGACUAAAUGUGGGAUCUGGAAAACCCUUCAAUUUCCAUAAGAUGUACAUAUCAAUCACGGCACACCAGACUCUAGGGAAAAGCUGUGUCGGGGUACAGUUCAAGCAAAUCAGCAUAUAGAUUAAAAAGGGGUGCAACGACAACCUAACACUAUAGCGAAAAAAAUCAGGAUGAAAGGCAAUGGCCCCAGGAGGGUACUGGCUAGCGAGUUCACUAAUUUGAGGCUUUCUAAAUUCAAUUAAACUUGGAAUUUUAUACUUGACUCCAAAAGAUGGAAUUGAUUUAUCAGAAAUUGCAUUCCCCACCCUAUAGAUGGACUAGUCAGGUUGGAGGUUAGUUUAGUCAUAAGGAACAAAUGACACAGGAGCAAAAUUUAUGGUAACUCUAUAAAAUAAGAGUUAUCAUGGCACUUUUAGACUUAAAUGAAUAAUACUUAGAGAGUAAAUAAUAUGUUUUCAUUGCAUUUUUGUUAUAUUUUGCAUAAACAUUCAUCUUAGUUUAUUCGUAAUAAAUUUUGUUUGAUUUAGAAUAAUUUGUGUACUAAAUCAUAUGCAUAAUUGUAGGUGUCUCGAAGCCCAAAUUUCAAGGUAGGAAUGCUGAUGCAAUAGGCUUGCAAAAUAUAGAAAAGAACUUGACUACAAAAUAAUUGAAACAAAUCUGGAACAAUGCAGUUGUUGUAGAUAUUGUUGUAGCAACCAUUACUGUAGCAAUCCUGGAACAAUGACAGAGAAAAUUCUACACAUGAUAAUUGCAUAAUUGCGAUCUGCAGUUUCCUAAUUUGACUUAUGCGCGACCUAGGCUUUUAUUUACCCUAAUUUUCAACUAUAAAAGAAGCACACCUCAUAACGAAAAGAGAGAGCCGUCACCCAAGGAGAAAAACAAAAAGAAACAAAAGAAUUGCAUAAUUUAAGAGAGAGAUUAAGGGCUGCACAAGAGGAAAAAUUGCAGAGAUCAAUUGAGAGCUCAAUCCUUCUUAUCAUUCUCUUGUUUUUGUGUUUUCUAUUUAUUCAUGGGGAUGUGUUUCGUGGCCGAAACUUUACUCUUUAUUUUUCUUUUGCAAAUCAUGGACUAAAUUUAUUUUUAGUUGAGUGGUAAACAAUCUUGAUGGUUUAUUGACUGAAAAUAUGUGUUGCUGCAUGUUUGCUGUAGCAUUUUGUUUUGAUAGCAUUUAUUUUUAUUUAUUAUUUCGGCUGAUCACCCAUUUAAUGAUACAAGUUUAGAGAGAGCCGCAAAAGGAUUUAUCUUAGUGGAACAUAUUAGAACAAAUACUUGAUUUUAGAUUGGGUUUCCUUGAUUAAGUUUAACUUAUCUCAAAAGGGCUAUGCUUAAUCUAAAAUUAGUGAUGAACUAGACAUAGGGAUUCAUCUUGUAGGAUAAAUAGAACCCAAGCGUGUAAUGUUAUAUCUAAUAUUGGCAUAAUAACUUAUCAUUGUUAGGUUGCUUAUAGAUAUAAGAUAUCCAACAUGCGACGAAUGAGGAUACAUAAGGAUUCUACCCAGUGUUGUAGCAGAUGCUGCAGCAAUCGUGCCAAACAUUAGAAAAAUAGUCAAAACUAUUAAGAGAGUUUAUUCACUCAACUACUCUAUAUUCCCAUUGGUUUUAUUCUUGAGUUUGACGUGAUAAUUUAUCUUGUUGCAUUUUAUUUAUUGUGCUUUUAUUUUAAUUAGUAUAAUAGUUUCACUAAUUGUUUUAUUUUAAUUUAGCACAAAAUCUGCACUGUUAAUAUUGUUGUAGCAAAUAUGAUAACAUCAAUCCUUGUGAAGACGAUCUUGAAUAUUCAUUACUUUAUUACUUGUUGUGUACACUUAUACAUUGACACCAAUAACAUUUGUAUUUAUAACCAACAAUUUACGACAAGGUGUAUGUGGUCAAAGGAUAUGUGACAAUAACCAUCAUCAUCUUCAAAGUAAUUAUGGUAAAGAGAGUUGAGUUAUUUUCAUAAUUAUAAGACAUUGAAAUUGCUAAAAACAAGGAGAAGAGAAGAGACACUCACCAAGUAAAGCAAAAACCAAAGGUUUGAAACUCCACGAGGUGGGUAAAUGGUGUAAAGGAUGGUUUAUAUAGAAAUAAGAAGAGAGAGAAACAACUUGAGCUUUUACGUUUUUGAUAGAACAAAAAGCCAAAAAUUAGGGAGUAGCUAUUGUACAAAAUAUAAGAUAGUCAAUAAAACAAAAAGUGAUACCUCCAAGAAUGGGGAGUAGGAAUCAUGCUUCCCCAAGAAUGGGAAGAAGGAAUCAUACUCUCUCAAGAAUGAGAAGUAGGAAUUAUGCUUCUCAAGAAUGGCAGUACCAUGCUUCCCCAAGAAUGAGGAACAUGAAUUAUGCUCUUCCGAGAAUGGGAAGCAAGAAUCAUGCUCCCUAGGAGCAGGAGAGUUGUGUUCCCCGGGGAGCACAACCAUGGUUCCCUAGGAAUGGAGUCCAAAAAAAAUAUAUUAUAGCGGAUAGUGUGUGGAUAUUUUCAAUAUACUAUUCGUAUAAACCCAUCUUAUAUUUAGAAAAUACUUACAAAAGUUGAUAUUAUUUUUAAUAAAUAUAAAUUAAUAAAAAAUUUGUAUAAUUAAUCAAUUAAUUCAUCCUCAUAUUUCUUUUGUUAGUUCUUUUAACCAUCUUUAACCAUUAUAGUUGCUUUAACACAAAAUUUAUUUGACUAUUUUUUCUUAUGACACGUAAUGACCAAAUUGUCGUAAAAUAUAUGUAUUCUUAUAUCUAAUAAUUUAGAUACUUAAUUUUUUAAUCUAUAAUCUAACAUUUUUAAAUGAAACUUAAUGGUUUUCAAUAUCCUAUAUGUAAAUGACAUAAAUUUGAAAACUAAUAAUUUACAUAAGUAAUGUUCCAUAAAGUUGCUAUGUUAGUUUAAUUAAAGAUUAAUAAUUAUACUUAUAAAGUAGUAUAACAAAGUAUGAAACAUGAUAGCAAAAACCAAAGAAAAAAUGUUGAACCUAAAGUAAUUUUUGGUACUUUUACCUUAUAAGUAUAAUAGUCAAUUUAAAUUUAGGCUAAAGUAAUCUUAGUAGUCAAACAAAUAAAAAAAAAGAUAGAUUUAAUUAAUCAAUCCUCCACAAUUCUUCUUUAUUUUUUUUAAUGUGCACUUCUUGUAAUUAUUUUCUAGAAAUAGAGUAGGCUUACAAAAAUUGUGGGGGUGAACUUAUCAUUAACCAAAACAAUAUUGUUAGCUAAUAAACUACUUCCUAAUGUUUAAUUCAACUAACAAUGAGAGUGAGAUAGUAAUUAUGCAAGUGGCGCUAGGAAAGAAAAAAAAAGGGUAUAGUAUUGGUAUUGGAUGAACUGCUAGUGUUGAAUAUAUAAAAAGAGAUAGAAUUGCAAAAAUUACUUGAUUUAAAACUAAGUGCGUGCUGAAAAGAGAAAACUACGUUUUAAGGAUUUGGAAAACUGUAAUUUCCAAUGUAUGAUUUCUUCAAUCUUUUGUUUGUAUUGUAUUUCUUUGUUAUACUUAGGAGCUUGAGUUUCCAACGUUAUUAUAAAGGGUUUAGCUAUGUUGGAGUUCACCUACGGUGGAGUACGAAUCUCAGCCAUACACGCAAAGUAAUAAAUAAUAAAUAAUGAAUUAUAAUGAGCUUUUUACUAUUUAUCACUUUGCAUGUGUGACUAAGAUUCAUACUCCACCAUAGAUGAACUCCAACAUAGUCAUAACAAAGUAUUUUACAACGUGCUUUCUUAUGAAAGUCCAUCUUAAGGGGCAUUUAUUUAUGCCCUCUAUCAUAAAAGUCUUGGUAAUUAUCUUGUGUUUCGUCCUGGAAUUUAUUCGGUAAAUAUAUAGGGAUUAGCUAACUAUAUUUUAAGGUAUUGGGGCAUAGGCAGAUCCAAAAUAGGACCAGCUGCGAACGUCCCCCAGCUGGCCUUUGAAAAUGUUUAAAGGGUCAACUUUGAUAUUUUAUAUUUCUUAAUGAGACUCAACUUUGAUAUAAAGUGAGUCAUAAUUAAAAUAAGAAAGUCUGAUCCUCUUUCUUCUUAUAAAAAGACCAUAUUUCAUUAAUUAAGGUUACACUCAAUAACUUUUACAUGAGACUAAGAGUGAGAAACACAUAUUCCUUCCACUGUCAUAUUCAAUAUUUUAAGGCUAUGGAUUAAAGGUAUUCUAUUAUUUUUUAUUGAUAUGUAAAAUUCACGUUUUUGAAUCUCUUGCAUUAUGUUAUGUGCUUGAUUUUUCAUAAAUGUUAUGGUCUAAUUUACAUGUUUCUCAAUAACAAGAGCACAUUAAGGUUGGCAAAAUCUAGGUCCGGGUUUGGGUAUCGCAAUACCUGGACCCAGCUUAGCUGUAAUUUGUAGACACCUAGGAACUGGGCUAGGUUUUUAAUUUGGAUUUUUGUUAUCGGAUUUUGUAAUUUUUUAAUUUAUGUAUGUUUACUUGUUUUGUAAUUUUAUAAUUUUUAAAUUUAUUUCAAUGAAAUUGGACAUGAAAAAUAUAAACUUUAAAUGUUUAAAACUUUACAUUUAUGUAAUAGAUGAGUUAGAUAAAUAUAAAUAUUUAAAAAAUAUAUUUUAUAAUAUUUUUUUAAUAAAAUCUGAAUUCCAGGUUAGGUCCCAAAUUUAACAAGUGGUGCCCAGGAUCAGCCCACCUUCAUACCCACAUCGCUAGAGUCCGAUUCGGGUUCGAACGGGGCAGGUAUUUUGCCACCCCUAGAGCAUAUUAAAGCACAACAAUGAUUAAAUAAAAUCAUGCAAAGCUAGGAUAUAUCUUGUCGAAAAAGAUAUGUCCUGUAUAUCAUUGCUCUUACUGAUAAUUGAUAUGAAUGAAAGUAGAAAAUAUAAAAAUAUUUGUAAGAAACUAUAAAUAUAUAUAUAUAAAUGUUCCAGUCCUAAAUUUUAAAGUACAGGAAAGUUCGGUAAACCUUUAAAACUGCAUGGUUUAAAAGGAUUAAAAUUAUAAGCCUUUAAAACCAUGUAAUUUGAAAGCUUUCCCGAACUUUAAAAUUUUGGACCAGAAAAUUACUAUAUAUAUAUAUAUAAGUGAGUACAAUGAGUUGGAUGAAGUUGCAUGCACCAAAAAGGGUUUUGCUAUUCUUCUUCCACUUCAUAAUUAAUAAAUAACUUUAGAGAUGUGUUACCCUAUUUAGAGAUUAGAGAGAAAUUAGAGAGAGAAAGUUGAUUUGAGAGAGGAGGGAUCUAUUGACAUGUGUCAUUAAUGCAAUUAAAUAACUAAAAUUUUGUUUUAAUUAAUUUUUAUAGACAUCUAAAGUCAUAUGUGACUCUUCUCAAAUUUUUUUCAGCAAAUUCUUUCCCUCUCAACACACAUCCUGCUUAUAAAAUUACAGUAGCUAAAGUUUUUUUUUCUUAUUUAAGAAAGAAGAAAAGCAGAACUCAACUCUCUUAUUGGAAUGAAAUUAACAUCAUCUCAACCUAACUUUUUUAAUUGUUAUUUUAUUUCGAAUAAAACUUAUUAAAGUGUAAAACUAGAGAAAAACUUCAUUUUUCAUUUUUCAUCAUACAAUUUUGUGGACGCAAAUCUUCAUUUUUCAUUUUUCAUCGUCUUGGAUGGAUUAUCCUUCGACUAGGUUCUAAGCCGAUGAAACUUGAUGAGAUUCAAUCACACUUGCAAAAUGUUUGGCAGCCUUCGAGUGCUUCGCACUUAAUCCCAUUGGCCAUAGGCUUCUUGUAUAUUCACUUCAAUGAUGAAAAUGAUAUGAGGAAGAUUUGGGGCAGUGGAACAUGUAUGCCUCUUUCUUUUUUUCCCCAGUUUGCUGAAAGUCGGCGUGAGCUGAGAAGGAAAGAAUUUGGGGGAAAUUUUUUUACAAGAGUCACACGUGAUUUUAGAUGUCUAUUUAGGUAAAAAUUAAUUAAAACAAAAUCUUACCUAUUUAAUUUUAUUAAUGACACAUGUUAAUGGAUUCUUCAAAGUCUAAGAGGACUAGAAAAGAAACUGCUCAAGAGAAGAUCCGGAUUCCUUUAAAGAGAACUAUUUUCGAAAAAGAAAACAUAGUCUAGUAGAUAAUAAAAUUAUUUUCUUACUUUUUUUUCUUUCUAUCAUCUAUUUGAGUGCAACUAGUAAGAUAACUUCAUAAGAUUACUUACAAUCUAACUACUACAAUACAAACUACAGCUACAAUAUAACUACAAUAAAUCGUACAAUAAUAAUAACUGCAAAUAAAUAAAUCGUACAAUAAUAAUAACUGCAAAUAAUUAGCAAGCGUCAAGAUCCAAGAAUAUUCUAACUGUUAAUUGGUUUAACUAGUAUGCAACCGUUUCACCAAGGCUUCAUGCGGAUGUGAAAAGCUACCAGGGAAUACCGAAAUAGCACGUGUGUCCAUAAUAAUGACAUAAGUAACCAGUUAAUUAGUCUUAAGAAGAAAAACAUUUGCUGUAAAUGAAGGAUCUUCUUUCCUUCACAUAUUGGAAAUGUCAGACUUGUCCUUUGUUGUUGAUUUCCAAAGCUCUGAAUACAUCAGUGUUUUACCUAUAGGAGAUACUCCGCUAUUCAAAAUUCUUAUACAUAAAAGAAUUAGUAAGAAAAUAAUUGUUAUUAAGCAGUGCAAAAGAAUAUUGUUGCCUUCUAAAGAUCCCCUCUUCUUCUUUUUGAGAGAAGAGAAAAAUGUUCUAACCUCCAUUUUUCUUAGUAGAAUGAAGAUAUGGAUGUUUUCAGAAGAAAUUGAAAAAACAUAGUUCUCAAGAAGCAUGGGGAAAACAAGAAAGUGAGCUCCAUGACAUAAGCAAGAUGUCAUGGAGCCAAAGAAAUUUGAGUAAGAAAGUGAGCUCCAUGAGAUAAGAAAGAAAGAUGUCAUGAAGCUAAAGAAAUUUAAGCAAGAAAGCAUGUAUGUGAGUUGGAAGCACAUGGACAUGACGUAAGCAUGAGAUCAUGGAACCAAGGAAAGCGUGGUUGCAUAAGAAGAAUCUAAGGUGUGUAAUCUAAACCUAAAAGAAAAAUAUAGAAACUUCGAAAAUACAAUUUGAGAAGACAUAAACAUAAGGAUCGGAUAAAACUCUAAUUAAGUUGUGAAAGCUGAUUAGAAUAGGGAGUUAUCAUGGAUUCAGGAUGCCUAAAAUGUAUUACAAAUAAGGAUGAUGCAUGGUAGUUGAGUAUUGCAAGUAGGGUACCUUUUGGAGAGCAUAACUUGAGCUACAAGUGUUUGUUUUCGACGUAUAAUAUAUUAUUUUAAAGCUUGCAACAAGAGAAUCUAAUUGCUUUUGCCAUUCCGCCGUAGGGUUGAGCUCAAAAUUCCACUUUUUCUAUGGUCAUUUCUUAAUUUUAAGAUUUUUUCCUAUUUUUCCUCAUUCUUCUAAGAUUUUUAUCUUUUUCUCUACAACUCGGAUUUGAGUGCCAUUUGUUUUUACUUUUUCUUUUUAUUUUGAUUAGGAGAAUUUAAUUAUCAUAUUAUAUUUCAGAUUUGCCUAUUGUGGUACAUUUAUGAUAUUUAGGCUUGUUAUAAAAAGAGCUCAAAACCCUAGUUUCAUUCAUUCAAAAUUUUCAAUAAAAUUUAUCAUUAUUCAGAAACUUUUAUUUCUUCUAUCAAUCUGCUUUUAACAUUUCUGCUUUGUCAAAGGAGCUCUUGAUACAUAGAGGACAUAGGAAAAUAGCUAAAGCAAAAAAAAAGUCGUUAAAAUUAUCAUUGAAUAGUGAAAGUUACUCUUUUUAUUCAUGUGGACAUAAGCUAAAUAUUGAACCACGUAAAUUUUCUGUGUUUUAUUUUUUAUAUUGUCCCCUUAUUUAAUUUUUUAAUUAACCAAAAAUUAACGUCAACAAUGGAGAUACCUUUUUCUUUUAUUUAUCAUUACUUUAUGUUGUAUCCCUACUUUUAAGCAGGAUGGGCCUUAGGUUAAAAUUUCAAAUAAAUAUUGUUAUUAAAAUUUAUUUUAUUUUAGUAGUAAAACUAGUAACUAAAGCUUAAGUUGUAUAUGUCCAAUUUUAUAUGUAUAACUUUGAAAAAUGUGGAUAAAGGGAAUUUUUUUCUGUAUUAUUUGAGAGAGUAAAUUUUUAAACUAAUGCUCGGCUGAACGUUGGACUGUAUUACAAGUUUAUAGAUCUAGAAUCCCAAUAGAUUUCAUAUUAUAUUAAAAUUUUAGAACUGCAGCAACCUAAAAAAAUUUAAUAUGAUGGAGAUAUUAAGCAUCUGAUGCAAAAAAGUUAACCAACUCAACUUCCAUGGCAGGAUUCAGACACAAUCACAAACCCAACUAUGACUUAAAUAAAUCUUCACCUCUCAGCUUAAAAUCAGUAAAUACAAUAAAAUAACACAACAAAUACACCUUCUGAAGGCUUUCCACUACAUAACUGCAAAAAGAAUUUAACAUUCAUCAAAAGCUCAAAGCUAGAAUAAAUAAGCGCAAGGGGUAAAAAUCCACUAAAAAUAUUAACAGCAGAAUAACAUAUUUUGUUUAAGCCAAAGCUUUAAUAUUUGUAAUGGUUGUAAAUAGUGUAAAAUGCUAAAUUCAAGGCAUAUCGUCAGAGAUAUCACAUGAACUAAAGGUGAUCACUAGUUUUGGCACAAAAGUUGAUUUAUUACCAAUGAACCUAAUCAUUUUCAUGACAAUAAGUCUUACUGAUGCUAUUAUUCCACACAAGCACAUAAAUAGGGAAAUCUGAAGAAGGCCUCCUAGAAUGGCAACUGCUCGAAAAACCCGAAGCUGUAAUCAUGAAAUGAAAUUUUUAUAACAACUGAACAGGAAAUAAAUUGAAAGGAUGAACGUUUAAAAAAAAAUAUACAAACAAACCUUUGCCAUAGAAAAUUCGAGGUCCAAUGCAAAGAGAAGGAAAAUCACACCAAAUUGAGCCACUGUUUCAACCUGAAUGAAAAUAACCAUCAGAAUAUGGAAGUGAUAUGCAAAAUAGAAGCAAUGAUAUUUGAAAUGUACAAAAUGAAGAGUUAAACAAACUUAUUCUAAUAUGGAACUAUAUCAAGGUGGCAAAAUAUAAAACCCGUAUGUUCGAGCUGGAUCAUACUUUCGUUUCGUUUCACUAAGGAAGUAUAAUGUCAGAAAUGACCAGUUUUAUUUGGUCAAUUGUAAUAAUAACACAAUAAUUUUAGAGUUAUUUUGACCAAACCGAGCUAUGAGAGAAUUGUACGAAUGCAUUAAAUCUUCCUCAUAACUUUUAACUAAAUCAACUAAAAAUGAGGGGUGGGGAGGGGAGAGAACUGGGCCGGCAUAUAUGCAAAAGUAGCAUUCCUGCACCAUCUCACUAACAAAGCUGAAACCCCCAGGGCCAAUAACAGAUCCUGCUAGCAAAUAUCUAGUAAUAACCUGCAAAAAAGUGAAAAUUGAAAUAUUCUCAUUAAGGAGCAAUGUAUAAAAGUUGCAUAAUACCAAAUUCUCUCUAAGACUCAAAAUCUUAUGGAUCAACAACAUACAUCCCCAAAAAACUUUAUAAACCAACAAGAAAGUAGUUUAUAUGAGCAAAAAUAAAGGAGAAAUAUUUGGUCUCACCAGUUGCCCAGCACAAGCAAAGGCAAUGCCACUAUAAGUUGCUGAAACGAUAACAACAACCAAAUCAGAUAUCAACCUGCGCUUAUAGCAUUUAGAAGAAAUUGGAAUGGUCAAUAAGUAGGUACUUUGGCUUUGGAUUGAAUUUAAAUAGAAGAGGCAAUAAUCUAACCUCAAAUCCAGUUGUAGCACAGGAUACCUUGAAUUUGGAUUGGAUCUAAUAAAGAAAUUGUCCCAAUUGGAAAAAUAUUAAAAUCUAAUCAAUUCAAACAUUGUACAGUCAAAGAUUAUAGUUGUUCGAGGCCAAUGCCAACCGGAAUUUAUGAACGAGGUAAAGAUUUCAAUGACUUGAACUGGACAUACCUUCCGAUCAAUCAAUGUUGGUGUAUCUUCUGUUCGUUAUCCAAAUUGAAAACAUGAUGAAACUGGAAAGACCUAAUAUAAGGCUCAUAAUAGCAUCAUUCCAAAUCAGGAGUUGCAAAGGUCAACAUAGAAUUACCAACCCCCCCCCCCCCCCACAAAAAAGGAAAAAAAGUUCUAUUAGCAAUGUCCCUUCAGAAAUCUAAAAAUGAAAAAUAAAACUCCAUUUUUUCUUUCUCGGAGCUACAAGAACAUACUUCUCCUCCUUGAUUUCAUUUUUCUUGUUCUUAACUCUGGCAACAGUUUCCAAAACAGCCUGAAAAACCCAAAAUUAUCAAGUUAAAACCAUCAUAUAAGACCCUAGUUUGUUUGAACAGCAACGAGAAGAGUAUUGAUUAAAAAGCUAUCCAGGAAACUUAGAACAUGCCAAACAUAAAUUUUAUUUAGCUUUUCAGUGAACCACCAACAAUAAAAAUUACAAAAAUCAAUUGUUUACUACCAAAUGGUUUACUAUGGAACAGUCUUAAAUAUAAUCUUUCAUAUUCACUUUUCAUCCUUAAGCACUUGGCACUUUUGCAACAAUUCAUAAGCAUAUUGAUGCACAUUCAUCAUAGUCUGUUUGCAAGUGAUAAUAACCCAAAAAUGGCUCAUAUAGUUCAUAUUCUCUACUACUAGUCAUUGGCCAAAAAAUAAAAGAAACUCACAUAAACUAAAGCUGUUGGGAUUAUGUGCUCUUUUAAAACAUAUUAAUUUAUUUUCUGAUUAAUAAAAUAUUUGAGAUAUUUUUCAAUUGCAUAAAUAUAUUGAAUAAGGUCUGUUUAAUCAUAUUAUAUGUAUUUAUGUUAUCAUUAUAUGGAUUCACAGACAUAAAUACAAGUUAUCUUAUGAUUAAAUAAAUUAAGUUCGCAGUUGAUAAAUAGAGUUGGAUGCUCUAUUUAUGUUUAGACUGUAGUAAAUUUAUUGAAUGAUUUGUCUUAAUCAUGUAUGAAUUUAUUGAUGUAGUUUGACUACAUUGAGCCAGAUCACAUAUGAGAUUUAAUUAACCUUGAAAUGACUGUCAGACUUAUUAAAUCCAUAGGCAUUGAUUUUACUGUAAUCUUAAUCUUGAGUUAGUUAUGAUUUUAUGAUUGCAAUUGUUAUUCCAUUUGAGUUAUCAAUGGGCACGACACACAAUUGUGGUCAAGAUUACCCGGUAUCUUGGUGAGAGCAAUUAUGAGUAUUGAAAUUAUAGAUUAACAAUAUAGAAUUUGUACAACACAUCUCUUGAUGGGUUUUCGACACUUGAUCAUAGAAUUCUUUGGCCAGAGUGUGUCAACAUAUUUAGUAUGUUGAAAAUGAUCAUUAGAGAAAACCAGUAAGUAUCAAGGAAUAAGAUGUAAUUAAAUCGAUUGGACAAUUGAGAUAUCGAUUUAUUUAACGAUGUGGUACAAAAGAUUAUGCAAUAAAGAAAUCGAUGUGGCUUGAGACGAAUUGUUAUUCGAGCAUACAAAUAUGAAGGUGGGUUCCAAUCUUUUAGUGGAGUAGAUUUAGAAUUAAAUAAUUUGGCUAGUUUAAUUACAGACCUAAUUAUUAUAUCCACUAUUGUCUAUUCCCAAAUGAUCCCCGAGUUAGCUCAUUUAAUUGACUGUGCCACUACUGGAUUAAUAAGAAAGAUAACUAACUAUUUGGGUUAAAAGCCUAAAUAUAUUAUUUAGUGGGAGGCUCCAUGUAAUGUACUUGUGUUUAAGGGGCAUUGUGUUAUUUUACAAGAUGUGCCCCUAUAACAAGAAAGAAGUAAUGUUACUUUUGGUUUAUAAUUUUUAAUUUAAAUCAAACUUGAUUUAAUAGAAUUAAUAAUAUUAAAAAAUGGAGCCUAGGGUUUCCACUAAAUAGAGAUAUAAAAAAUCUUAUUUUCUCUAAAGAAGAAAAGGACGGCCACUUUAUACAGAUCAGAGAAAAAAAAAUUUCUCUCUAUUGUUGAGAGAAAAACUUUCUCGUGCUAGUUGGUUUAGUGAUGACAAAGGCGCCUACAUGUCAAGUGCAGAUCAAACUUAAGUCAUAGCUUGAAAAAUUAUUUGGUGGCGGAUCGUGAUCUAACAGGAGCGGUGGUGACAGAUCAUGAUCUGACAGGAGUGGUGGUGACGGAUCGUGAUCUGGGAGCCUAAAUCACCUUAGCGGAAAAAGCCAAAUCGAAUUUUCAAGUUAUAAUUUUUAGAUUAUAAAUUCUUAUAUAUUAUAUGAGAGCGAUCCUAAAAAUUUUUAUAAAAAAUUUAAAAAACUGAUUUUUCUCCAACAAUUGGUAUCAGAACCAUCUCAUAUUAAUAUAUAAGAAUUUCGUAUGAAAUCAAUCUUGAAAUUUAUAUAUUAGAGUGGCACAAUUUAUUCAGAUAUAUAUUGUUUGUUUAAUAUAUGAAUAAAGCAUAUUUUGGUUUGUCUUAAUUCAUGGUUAGAUUCUUGCGGUAUUUUUCGUUUUGAUCUGUAACAAGAGGGGUGGCUUUUUAUCACCAUGUUCCCUAUUGAUUUAUUUUACUGUUAUAGAAAUUUUGUAAGCCAAAAUUGGCCUAGGAAAUUUGUAAAUCAAUCACGAAUGUCAGAUUAGAGGAAACGAAGGCUGUAUAUUUUGACAACGGCAACGAAUCAGGGCACUCUGCACGCAGCAAAGCAGCGCGCGUGGCCAGCAAUGGCCAUCAGCGCACACUGCAUGUGUUGCAGCUGCAAGCAAUGCUGCCAACAGCGUGCAUGAGGGAUAGUGGCGUGUAACUCGCGGUUCCGUCAUUUGGUAGCUUUCCAGCGUGGCGGCAAUGGUUAAAUCAGCGUCGAACUUGGAUGAACAGUGACUGACUUUGUGUUGAUGGCGGCUGGGGAGCGAAAAAGAUGGAUUUAGGGUUUUAAUAGUUUUUAUCAUUAAAGUCCCUAUAGUUCCAUAGUUUUUCUCUUUGGGCUGAUAAGUUUCAAUUUUUUGCAUUUAAGUUCAAAAACAGUUUUGGGCUUAAUGAAUACUAGUUUUAGACCCAAUUAAAAUUGGACUUAAUGGAUUAAAAUGCAUAAAUAAAAUUGAACAAAUUAAAUUUAUUUUGGUCCAAAAGUUUUAUUUAAAGAAAAGAAUUUUAUUUAUUUUCUUUCAAAAUUAAAAUUAGACCAAUAAUAAAUUUAAAAGCUAAAUUUCUCUUACCCUAUAAAUAAAGACAAGUCUAUAGAAAAUGGACAUUGACAAGAAGUCCAAUGAAAAUUAGGCUUAGGGUUAAUGUAUUUUUUCAUUUUAGGAAAGCCAUGAAUUAAGAUUAUUUAAUUAUUUUUCUCUAUGUUAUGUUUUGGAUGAUAACAUGCCAUGAUAACAUGUCAUAUAGAAUAGGUAGUGCCACUCUAUCCAUAAUGAUAUAUGUCAUUCAUAUAUUAUGAAUCUCAUUAUAUCGUUUGUAAUUUGUGUAUGUUUAAUAAUAUUGGAUAUCAUCUAGAUAAUAUUAUAGGAAGCAUGCAAUUAACAAUAUGUAUGUUUUAAAAAGGAAAAACCAAUUUUAAAAUAUUGAGUGGGAGAGGGAAAAUUCAAGAUAAUUUUUCCCACGGGCUCCAUUGUUAGUUCAAUAAUAAAAUUAUAUAUAUACCUCGACUUCAUGUUACGGUGAUGCUCCCUAUGGAGGGUAUAUAUAUUAGAUAUUUUAUUUGAUGAACUUCUUCAAAGAUAAAAUUGAAAUAUUUUUCAAUCAAUUGUUCACCCCAACGGUGACUAUUGAUAUGAAAAAUACGUAGAUUGAAACAAUGAUUAUACACUCAACUAAAAUUUGUUAUUAACCUUCCCAACGAAGCUUUGUUAACAAAUUUAGGCUCAAAGGAAUAACAAUAAUUAUUUUUCAUGUCUCUACAUGAAAGUAAAUAAUUCAAUGGAUAAUUGGGUCUAGUAAGUGUAGAUAUGAUUUCCUCAACGGAUAGCUUGUCAAAGCGGUACUAGAUUAUCGUUACAAUAAAUUAAAAUGCAUUUAUGAUUUUUUACAUUUUAUCAUUUAUUGUGAAUAUUGUUUCAAAGUAUUUAUGCAUAUCUAUUUUGUUUUUUCAGAAAAUGUCUUCCAUCAACCCAUUAUUAAUUAUCCUUGUUAAAAAUGAACUCAACUGACGAAAAUUAUUUAGAUUAGAAACGCAAUCUAUUUAAUAUUCUCACUACUAAAUGCUGCAAAUAUGUGUUGACUCAGCCAUGCCCUCCAAAGCCAAUGUUAUACGAUUAUAGGAAUCAGAGGAAGUUUUAUGAGAAAUAGUGCGAAGCUAACAAAAUGGCUAAGCACUAUAUAUUGGCUUCGAUUUCUGUGGAACUGCAUAAGAAACAUCGAAGCAUAGAAACAACCACUGAAAUAAUGGCUAGUCUUCAUAAGAUGUUUGGGCAAAAUACUCAUUUUGCCAGAGAAUCAGUAUUAAAAUGUAUUACGGAUACUAAGAUGGAAGAGGGCACAAGAGUUCGUGUUCAUGUCCUCAAAAUGAUGAGCUGUUUAAAUGAAGUAGAGAUUCAUGGUGUUCAAAUCAAUGAUAAAACAGAGAUUAACAUGGUGAUUGAAUCUUUGCCUGAUACAUUCAAAGAAUUUAAGGUCAGCUAUAUCUUAAACAAUAAAGAUAUGACCUUAAUUGAGUUAAUGCACGAACUACAUGCUAUAGAAGAAUUUUAUCAUAGUAGAAAACUUCCUAAAAAAAGAUUCCCUUCAAGCUUAAGUCGAAAGAUAGGAAGAAGCAAGAAAGAGUUGGGAUCGACAAACUAUCCACUAAAAGAAGUGGCAAGCCAAAAGGCAAGUGUUACAAAUGUAGACAGAAGGGUCACUGGAAGAAAGAUUGUCCUAAGAUUAUUAAAAUCAAGUAUAGGAAAUUUUUAAGAUUUCUAAUUAGUUCAGAUAUCUAUUGAUUCAUGCAAUAAUAAAUUCUGAGAUAACUAAUCUUAUUUGUAAUUUAUUUAUUUGGUUUUCAGGAAACUAAGAGAUUAAGUGAAAAAAGCUUCAAACAGCAAUUGAGGACAUGCUAGUUUAUAUAAAUUGAAAGGCUAGAUCAAUUUUACAAGACUUUAGAUUUGAUAUUUGUCUUUAUUAUUCCAAAUAUUAGAGGAAUUUAAUUUCGGUGACUUGUUUUAAUAAUUAAAAGUACACUGUUAUUUUUUGAUACUCUGUUUAUUACUUAUUUUGGUUCUUUAUAAAGACAAUUUAUAUCAUAUAAGUCUAUUGAUCUAUUCAACACAAGAUAUAAUGAUAAAGAGUAUAUGCAUUUAUCUAAGAAAAGAAAUGUUUCUUCUAACCAAUGUCAUCUCUGAUAUUUAUGCUUAAGUCAUAUAAACUGUAAUAAGAUUUAAAAAAAAUGAUUAAUGAUAGGCUUGUUGGCCUAUUAAGAUUGAUCAUUAAAACUCUAUAAAUCUUAUUUAGAAAAGUAGUAUGACGAGAAUACUCUUUUUGAACUAAAAGCAUAACAUUGUAUUGGAUGAAUUAGCGCAUACAAAUGUAUAUAGACUAAUCAGUUUACAUGUUAUAAGAGGUUAUGAGUAUUCUAUCAAUCUUGUUAAUGAAUAUUCAAUUUAUUUAUAGUUGUCUAAAUGCGUCAUGAUUCCAUUGCUUUUGAAAUUCAAAAGAAUACUUGGAUAAGACAAAAGCAAAUAGACAGGAAUAUAAAAGAACUUCGAUAUGAUCGAAACAAAGAAUAUCUCUAUGGAGAAUUCAAGCUCUAUUUAGUUGUCAAACGGGAUAAACUCCCACAUAUAAAGAACACUACGAUACAAUAGUGUAAUUAAAUGGAGAAACAAGAAUCUUUUGGAUAAGACAAGAUAUAUACUAACUGGUUUAUCAUUUACCUUUUUUAUUCCAGAUACUAGUAUUCAAAAUUGCAAAGUUUAUUGAACUUAGUUUCAUCUACAUCAGUGUCUAUUACUCCAAGAAAUUAUGAAAAAGUCACAAACAUGGUUUGAGACACAUUCAUAUUUGGAGUUUACUAGUAUUUGUACUAGAAUCAGAGGUAGAGAAGAUGAAUUCGUGUUCAGAAGCUUGCAUGUUUAAGUAUCUUAAAUGAAUAAAGAAAAUUCUGAAUUAUAGUCCUCAAGAUAGGAAUAUAUUUAUAGACAUAUUCUUUACUUUAUUUGACUAUUUAAUGACUUAUUACCUAAGAGUAAGGUAAAACUAGAGAAAUAAAAAGGAAAUCGGGUUGAUGCUCAGCUUUCAACACUUAUUAUUGAACAGAAAGAACAAUAAUAACCAGCUGAUCAACACAGGAUUAUCCCUGAACAGCAGUAACUUUUAGAAUCUCGUCGUAGUGGGAGUGUAACUAGGUUACCAGUGAGAUACAUGUUAUUGGGAGAAACCUAUACGGCGAUCUCAGAUGAACAUGUACAAGAUCCCAUGAGCUACAACGAAGCUCUAAUAGACAUAGAUGUUGAAUUUUAGAAAAAUGUCAUGAAUCAAUAAAUGAAAUCUAUGUAUUCAAAUAAAGUCUGGGAACUUGUAGAGGCACCAAGUGGGGUAAAACCUAUAAGGUACAAGUGAAUCUACAAGAGAAAAAGAAGAGUAGACGGAAGGAUGGAAACAUCUAAAGCAAGAUUAGUAGCCAAAUGGUUUACUCAGAAAUAGGGAAUCGAUUAUAAGGAAACCUUUUUUCCGGUUACUAUGCUUAAAUCCAUCAGGAUUCCACUCUCCAUUGCUGCAGUGCUAGAUUAUAAAAAUUGGCAAAUAGAUGUCAAGACUGCCUUUCUUAAUGGGCGUCUUGAAGAAGACAUCUACAUGCAGCAACCAGAUGCAUUCAUACAAAAAGGUCAAGAACACAUGGUAUGUAAGUUGCAGAGAUCCAUUUAUGGAUUGAAGCAAGCAUCCCGGUCAUGGAACAUCAAAUUUGAUCAAGCGAUUAAAUCAUUUGGAUUCAUUCAGAACAUUGAUGAACCAUGUGUGUACAAGAAAAUUCAAGAAAAAUAUGUAGUCUUCCUAAUUGGAAAUGAUAUAGGAGUAUUGACUAGAAUAAAGAGUUGGUUAGCAAAACAAUUUGAUAUAAAAGACCUGGGAGAGGCAAGAUAUAUUCUUGGUAUCAAAUUACUACGAGACCAGAAGAAUAAAACUUUAGCCUUGUCUCAAGCAGUCUAUAUCGACAAGAUAUUGGCUAGAUUUAGCAUGAAAAAUUCUAAGACUGGUUUAUUACCAUUCAGACAUGGAAUUGUAUUAUCUGAGGAUCAAUCACCUAAAACAUUUGAAGAGAGAGAAAAUGAGACAAGUUUUUUAUGCAGAAGCUGUGGGAAGUCUCAUGUAUGUCAUGCUUUGCACUAGGCCAGACGUCUGUUUUGCGGUAUGGAUGGUUAGCAAAUAUCAAUCUAAUCUUGGACCUGAACACUAGACUGCAGUCAAGCAUAUUAUAAAGUAUCUGAAAAGAACUAAAAAUUAUAUGUUUGUGUAUUCUGGUUAUGAACUUAUUCCAGUGGGUUAUACUGAUUCUGACUUUAUGUUAGAUAAAGAUUCUAGAAAAUCAACUUCUGGCUAUGUGUUUACAUUAGGAAGUAGAGCUAUUAGUUGGAGGAGUGUGAAACAAUCUUGUAUCACAGACUCCACAACUGAAGCUGAAUAUAUGGUGCAUCUGAAGCUGCAAAAGAAGUUGUAUGGCUCUGUAAGUUCCUAUAAGAUCUUGAGGUGGUACCUAUUGUAACUGCACCUUUAAACUAUUUUAUGAUAAUGGUGGUGCAGUAGCUCAAUUUAAGGAACUAAUGAACCACAAGAAAUAAAAACAUAUUGAGAGGAAGUAUCUUCUUAUUAGGGAAUAGUGUAAAAAGGCUAUAUGACAGUAUCCCAAAUGACAUUAGAUGCUAUAUGGCAGAUCUUAUUACAAUGGUCAUUAGUAGGAAACCUUUAUAACCUGCACUUAGAGCCCUAGAGCAUGUGCAAUAUGCCAAAUAUGUUUUAAGAGCUAGUGGGAGAUUGUUGGAAUUAUGUGCUCUUUUAAAGUAUAUUAAUUUAUUUUCUGAUUAAUAAAAUAUUUGAGAUAUUUUUCAAUUGCAUAAAUAUAUUGAAUAAGAUCUGCUUAAUCAUAUUAUAUGUAUUUAUGUGAUCAUUAUAUAGAUUCAUAGAAAACAUAAAUACAAGUUAUCUUAUGAUUGAAUAAAUUAAGUUCGCAGUUGAUAAAUAAAGUUGGACGCUCUAUUUAUGUUUAGACUGUAGUAAAUUCAUUGAAUAAUUUGUUUUAAUCAUUUAUGAAUUUACUGAUGUAAUUUGACUACAUUGAGUUGGAUCACAUAUAAGAUUUAAUUAACCUUGAAAUGACUGACAGACUUAUUAAAUCCAUAGGCAUUGAUUUUACUGUAAUCUUAAUCUUGAGUUAGUUAUGAUUUCAUGAUUGUAAUUGUUAUUCCAUUUGAGUUACCAAUGGGCACGACACACAAUUGUGGUCAAGAUUACCCGGUAUCUUGGUAAGAGAAAUUAUGAGUAUUGGAGUUAUAGAUUAACAAUAUAGAAUUUGUACAACACAUCUUUUGAUAGGUUUUCGGCACUUGAUCAUAGAAUUCUUUGGCCAGAGUGUGUCAACAUAUUUAGUAUAUUGAAAAUGAUCAUUAGAGAAAACCAGUAAGUAUCAAGGAAUAUGAUGUAAUUAAAUCGAUUGGAUAGUUAAAAUAUCGAUUUAAUUAACGAUGCGGUACACAUGAUUAUCAAUAAAGAAAUCUAUGUGGCUUGAGACGAAUUGUUAUUCGAGCAUACAAUUAUGGAGGUCAGUUCCAAUCUUUUAGUGGAGUAAAUUUAGAAUUAAAUAAUUGGGUUAGUUUAAUUACAUGCCUAAUUAUUAUAUCCACUAUUGUAUGUUCCUAAAUGAUCCCCGAGUUAGCUCAUUUAAUUGACUACGCCACUACUGGAUUAAUAAACAAGAUAACUAAUUUUUUGAUUAAAAGCCUAAAUAUAUUAUUUAGUGGGAGGCUCCAUAUAAUGUACUUGUGUCUAAGGGGCCUUGUGUUAUUUUACAAGGUGGGCUCUUAGGACCCUUAUGACAAGAAAGAAGUAACGUUACUUUUGCUUUAUUAUUUUUAAAUUAAAUCAAACUUGAUUUAAUAGAAUUAAAUAAUAGAAAAAAAAUGGAGCCUAAGGUUUCCACUAAAUCGAGAUAUAAAAUAACUUAUUUUCUCUAAAGAAAAAAAUGGCAGCCACUUUAUACAGAUCAGAAAAAAAAAUUCUCUCUAUUGUUGAGAGAAAAAUUUUAUCGUGUUAGUUGCUUUAAUGGUGAUAAAGACACUCACAUGUCAAGUGGAGAUCAAACUUGAGUCAUAGUCUGGAAGAUUAUUUAGUGGCGGAUCGUGAUCUGACAGGAGUGGUGGUGACAGAUCGUGAUCUGGGAGGCUAAAUCACCUCAGCGGAAAAAGUCAAAUCGAAAUUUUAAGGUACGAUUUCUAUAUUACAAAUUAUUAUAUAUUAUAUGAAAGCAAUCCUAAAAAUUUUUAUAAAAAAUUUAAAAAACUAAUUUUUCUCCAACAAAAGCAACAUUACAUACACAAUUUUCAUCCACUAUUUUGAAAAGUAAUUAAAGGCAUACAGAUUUAAAGAAUACGGUAACCAACCUGCUAUCCAACAACACUAUUAUUAAAGCUACCAGGAACAACGGCCGCUAUAGGAAAACACGGACAGUAAACUUAAUAUACCUUGCAUAUUCCACUUGUUCAUUUUUUUCCCCUAAUUCAUCACUAAAUUUCACUUCAUGUGCUUUAUGAAAUCAAAGAUAACAGAUGUUUUUUUUCUUUUAAAUGACAAGUUCAGAUACAAUGCAUAAAUGUGGAUCAAAUAAACUGAAACGAGAUCUAGAAACCCUAGCUGAACAACCGCAAAUCCAGAUCUAGUAUGGACCUUCGUUUUGGUCACUCUCAUUGAACUCCUUUUCGAGAGCACGAUCAAUCAUGUUGUCAAAGCUAUCUUCCUUGGAUCCUGUAUUGUUCAACUCGGUUGUAAUGGCGGUGGCCGUGGCUAUGGCUGUGGCAUUGAUCUCGGAGUCCAACUCGGUGACAGACUCGGUGGACGCGAAGCAGAGAAGAAGAGAAAAAAUGACGAAUAGUGUGAGGAAUAUCCUCAUUGCCGAAAUUUUGUUUAUCAAAACGCAGCGUUUUCGUCUUCGUCUCGUUUCGUUUUGUCGAGAACGAACGAACGAGAGGAAAAUUUGUUUGUUGUUUUUGUUCUUUCACUCGGUGGUGUAUGUCCGUGUGGUUGUUGCAGGCAGUAGCUGCGGAGUGAUGUCAGUCAGAUGGUGGUAACUGUUGGUAAUGAAAUUUGUCCUCAUUACGCGCGUGACAGUGCGCGUGUGGUUGUUGGAGGCAGUGGGUUGGCAACGUUGCUAUUUUUAUUGCAGCCUACUUGACCCGAGAAUGGCCCGAUCUAUUAAGGCGGAUUCCGAUUUGCGAUUACACCAUAACCGCCGUACUCUUUCUAACUGAUUCAAUAUUGUAAUGGGUAAUGAAUUGAUUAUUUACAAAGAUAUUUUAAAAGUACAAAUAAAGUAAUCGAAGCUUUAAUCUAAUUUGAUAUUUACUUAUUUUUUAAAAAUAAAAAAUAAUUAAAAUCUAAAUUAAUUUUUUAAUUUCUUAUUUUCAAAUUCAGAUUGACAAUUAAUUUUAUUUUAAUUAAGGCUCUGUUUAGCUUUAUGGUUGAAAUAUUAUAGUAAUUUAAUAAGUUUUUUUUUUCAUUUUGACAAAAGUUUUUAAAAGUAAAUAGGGAUUUCUUAUUAUAAGCUGUUUAUUAAAUAAGUUAUUAUACCUUUUUAAAAUUUUUAUUAUAAUCUUAAUAUUUUAACAAAAUAGCAAUUACGUCUUAAUUUUUCAUAAGACCUAAUAUACAAAUGAAAGGCGAUUUAAAUUUAUGUCUAUUUUGGUUAUUAUAUAAUAAAAUAACAUUUUCGAUAAUAAGAUUUAUCAAACACAUAAACUCUAAUUUUUAAACUUAUAGCAACUACAAAAAUGGUAAAGUAAACACCGAACUACUUUUUUAAUCAACAAUUUAUUUCAUUCAUACAAUAAAAGUAAUUUACUUCAUCAACCAUUGUAAUUCCAAACUAACCCUAAGUUAUUAAAUAUGUUUAUUUUUUUAACUUCAUUUUUCAAUCAUUAAAUUAUUAAACUAAUUUUUUUUAGCUUUUUACUUAUUUUAAAAAGUACGAAUGAUAUCACUAAAAAAUAUUCUCCAAAGUAUUUCUAUGUAAUUUAAUUUAUUUUCAUCCCUCUAAAUAAAAAUUACUCAUUAGCAUUAUUUUUAUCUCCAUCGCUUGUGAUGAUAUUGGAGUAGAUUUUAUUACUUUACUCUUUUUUAUAUUUGUUUACUUUUAUCUAUCUUUUGAAUAUUUUCCAUAGAAUAUGUCACAAACCGCAAUAAAAUUCAUUAACAUAUCUAAUUUACAAUAUCAAAAGGGUUAUAUUCACUUGAAUGAUUUAUGUUAUGAUAAAAUGCUAUCUUAUUUAUGUUCAUUGAAAUAUUUAUUAUUUAUUCAACAUUUAAAUUUUGUAAGGGUACAAAUAUAAAAUACUGAAUUUUAGAAUUUUUAUGUUAAGAAAAACAACUUAAUAUUUAUUAUCAUAUAUUAAAAAAAUGCCAUUCAAAUUCAUAUAUUUAGCUCUAUCCAUACUAAUUUAGGUCUAUUUAGAUUUUUUUUUUAAAUGCCACCUAAGCAUUUUGACACCCCUCUAAAUUCCUAACAAAAACCAAUUUUAAUUUAAAUUACCUAAAUAACUAAAACUUAUAUAAUUUAAUUAUUGUUUUGAAUAAAAAUUUAAUUAAACACUUAAAUAAAAUAUUUUUAAAAAAUAUUUUUAUACCCAUCCUAUUUGAUAAUUUGUAAUUAUAUUUUAAAUUUUAAUUUAAAAGGGGUUUUAUGAGGGUGACCACAGGCUGCCAAAAUUGUCCAACUUUAUUUGUAAGUCUGGUCCAUUCUAGUUGGGCUUUGGACCAAUUUUUAGACCCUUGAGCUUAAGCUCAAUGUUGUGGAGGGCACAGUCUCAAACUUUAACUAAAAGAAAAGCCCAGUUCUUGAUUCCUCAUGGAAUAAAAGUAAUAUUUAAAUGCACCCUUAAAGAAUUCUAAGGGCAACAUAAAUUCUACGUUAUGUUCUAUUUUCCAUAUAUUCUACCUCAUAAAAUGUGGGUCGUAAAGGAGUUUUUACUUCCAUGAAUCUAGUUCAUUCUUUUUUCUUUGUCUUGAAGUGGAAAGGUGUAGGGCUAAUGACUGGAGUAAAGUCGUAACAAGGUAGCCGUACUGAAAGGUGCGGCUGGAUCACCUCCUUUUCAGGGAGAACUAAUGCUUGUUGGCUAUUUUGGUUUGACAAGGAAUUUUGAUGUAGAAUGGUUGCGUGAAAUAAGUAGGUAUUUUUGAAAAUCAUAAUUUAGUUUACAUGUGUUCGUUUUUUGUGUAUAAUAUAUUAUUUUGAAACUUGUAACGAGAUGAACCAAAUUUAGUGCCUCAUUCUGCCUUUUGGACAAGCUGACAAUUCCACUUCUUUUUCAGUUAUUUUUUAGUUUUAAGUUAUUUUUUUAUUUUUCCUAUUACUUUAAAGAUUUUUAUCUUUUUUUUUAGAUAUCGAAUUUAGGUGUUGUUUGUUUUGUUUUGCAUAUUUAAACUAAGAGAAUUUUAUUGUAAAGUAAUAUUUCAGAUAUGCCUAUAUUAGUAAAUUUGUAAUAUUUGAGGUUAAUAUAAACGGAGAUCUAAAACCUUAAUUUUAUUCAUUUAGACUUUCUCUAAUAAAACAUUCAUUAUUUAGAAACCUAACGUUUACUAUCAAUUAACUUUAUAUGUUUGUGCAUCAUUAGAUAUACUUAGGUAUACCUACAAGGACACUCCAACACUUAAAUAAGGGUGUGUAGAUAUAUGAUACAUGCAAGAAAGACAAGCAAAGAGAGAGAAUUUAAUAAGAAUGGUGACUUUAGUAUUACUAGAGCUAAACUUUAAUCAAUAGUUUCUAGGUACAGAUCUUGAGAUAGAUUUAUUGCUCUAAUUGGCUCGUCACGUGUCCUUCAUUAAUUUGUGGACAUAACCUUCCUUUUUCUGCUAUUCAUUCCCUUUUCUCCAAAGUUAGAACAUUUUCUAAAGUUAUUGCUCUAUUCCUUAGUCAUGUUAUUUUGGAUUAACUUUGGUCCUCAUGUGCUUCUCUUAACAAAGCACGUGAUACUUUUAUUGGCGGUGCUUCUUUAUGUAUUUUUCUUUGGUGUUCGAGCAGAAGCUUGUGCACGUCAUGCGCAUCUUAUACUAACUAUACUACUGUUUUGAAGUGAGUUUGGAGAAAGCCUAGAUUAAUUCUUGGUAGUAUGUGACACGUGGCAUUUGCUUAUUGACUUGGUGAUUUUGGUACCUACAAGUGAGGUUCCCUUAACUUCAAAAUUUAAUUUAAAAAGGUGAAUUAAUUUUUCAUCCAUUGAAUUUAUUCAAUCCAAUGGUAAGAUUUUAAAAUAAAAAAAUAACAUUUCUAUUUCAAGAUUGAGUGACCUAAUAUAUGAAAAAUUAAGUUCUUUUUGGAAGUCAAAAUUUGAAGUUAAGAGAAUGCUCCCAAAAAAAUGUAUUCCUAAUAUACUAAAUAAAUCACAUAUAGAUUACUAGUAUUAUUCUUUUUUCAUCUAUUUUUUUUUCAAUUACUCCAUUAUUAAUCUUUUGUUCCACUUUAUGCAAAUUUGCAUUUGAAAAAUGAAAAUGAUGCAUCUGGUUAACUAAACUAAUAAGUAUUUUGAGCAUUAUACAAUAAAAUAAAAUUUUAAUAGUAAAAUACAUCAAAUACAUUACACUUUGUUUUUCAAUUUAUUAUUGUUUCAUGAGUACAACACAAGAAAAUUAUUUUACAAGUAGUAGCAAUCUCAAACUUGACCAUGUUAAGCCUUAAGGUCUAGAAACACAAGACCUAACUUUAUCUAAGGGUAAAAGUUUAUUUAGUCCCUGUAUUUUAAUAUUAGUGUCCAUUUAGUCUCUAUAUUUUUUAAAAUGCCUUGAAACAUCCCUGCCGUUAAAGUAUUGAUACCCUUAUUGUUACUUUUUAUUUCUUUUGGCUUACUUUUACAAUAUUAUCCUUUUAUAAUAAUUUUUUUGUUUAGACAUUAAUAAAAAGAAAAUAAUUAAAUUACCAAUUUAACCCUAAAAAUAAAAUAAAAUUUAUAUUAAUUUUUUUACAAGCACCAUUUGCACACUUUGUAGUUUUCAUACAAUUUUUGACAAUUAAAAAUUAAUAUAAAUUUUUUAAUUUUCAUUUUUAUGGUUAAGUUGGUAAUUUAAUUAUUUUCUUUUUAUUAAUGUCCAAACAAAAAAAUUAUUAUAAAAGGGUAAUAUUAUAAAAAUAAGCCAAAAGAAAUAAAAAGUAAUGAUAGAGGUAUUAAUACUUUAACGGAAGGGAUGUUUCGAGGUAUUUUUAAAAAUACAAGGACUCAAUAAACUUUUACCGUUUAUCUAAUUAAUGGAGUUAAUUAGAUAACUGAGUUUAAUAGAGAAAAACUUUCAUGUGUUGAUUGCACCACGUUAACAUAGUUCUAAAAUAAAAUUAUGUUACAUCCGACCAAUUAUAGUCUCACUAUAAGUCCACUCACUUUAAUUUAUAGAAUAUUUAUUUUGAAAUAAAAAAUGCUUAAAACCAACAACCAUACGAUAGAGGUACCAUGUCAUUCAUACAACAAGCUAAUAAUAUUAUUACAUGUGUGCAUUUAUUUUUUUAAAAAAUCACCAUACAAAAGUGAUACAUGUCAUACAUGCAUUAGUUGGUUGUAUUAUGUAUGUUCUAGAAUUUCUAUGGGCAUUGACUGUGCUGUUGAUCAAGUACUUCUCCUCACGGUCACCAAAUCGCAAACCUAUUCAUUUUGCUUUAAAUUGUAGUCGUAACUCAACAAACCCAAUGGUCUUUCACUUAUUUGAAUAUUUUAAUAAAACUGAAGUGUCAGAUAAUGCAAUAUAAUACAAUACAAUACAAUACAAUACAAUACAAUUUACAAUACAAUAAUUUUGUAUAUUAUCUAGUAAUUUUCUAAUGAGGAUGUCAUUACAGACAAAAAAACACAGUCUUUAAUAUAUUGAAAUAUGUUUUUUUUUGGUAAUUUACGAUGCAUUCUUCCUUUAACAAAAUGAGGAUGCUCUCAUUAGAGAAAGAAUAUAUAUCUAUAGGGAUUUUGAUAUAUUAGCGGAUAAGAAAAUAUCAUCUCUAAAUAUAUUAGAGACAUUCUUACUUUAAUAUAAAAUGAGAAUAUCUUUGUUAGAAAAGGUUAACAAAGUGAGAGUACCAUUAACAGACAAAAGUACAAUCUCCAAAAUAUUCAAAUUUGUAUUUUUUAAUAUUUUAGUGGCAUCCUCAUUUCAACAAAGUACAAAUGUCCUCAUUUGUGAAUGACUCUCUCUCUCUCUCUCUCUCUCUCUCUAUAUAUAUAUAUAUAUAUAUAUGGGACAAAUUCAAAGGACACAACUUUAAACACAAUUUUUUUUAGCCAUUAGAUAAUUUAGAUUGAGACUCAAUGAAUCAUGAAGAUUACAUAUAAUUUAAUUAUCUUUCAUUAAUUCAUUUUCUCUUUCUUAUUAACUCUCUCUCUAGUUCACUCACGUUUCACUCCUCUUUUUUCUCUUCCUAAGUUCCAAUUUUUUUCUCUUCUCUUUCACGCUUAUUUCUCUAGCACUCUCAAACUCAAGCUUAUGAAUAUAAUUGAGUUAUUUUAUUUUAUUGUAUUUAUUUAUUUAUUUUAAAUAACCAAGACUAUGAAUAAGCCCUAGGUCGCCCCUUGGCUUAAUUGAUCAUUGUUGUUUAAGCCAUUUAAUAUAAUUAGUCACCAUGGUUUAAGUCCUGGUACUGGUAGAGAGAAGGAGAGACAAAAUUAAGAUUAUAAAUAAAAUCAGAUAGCAAUACGUAAAAUUCUUAACAAUAUUAUAUAACAGGUAAAGCUUGCGAAUAAAGUAUGUCUAAAGCCUCUCGUCGAAUCUGAUACAAAGAACAUAGUAAACUUAAUUGGGAGAUUAAUUGAUCACUAACAAUUGUAAAGUCGAGCUCACCAUGCAUUUUCCAAGUCCUAUCAUACAGUAGCCCACUGUUUGGAAUGUUAAAAUCUUAUCAAAAGUAGUGUGAAAAUGGAUGAUUUUAAUUAAAAUGGUUGUUUUUUUAAUUCUAAUUAAAAUGAAUGUUUAUAACAUAUAAGAAAAUUAUGUAGUAGAAGGUUUAUGGAGUUGAAACAGGUUUUGAAGUGGCAAGAGAAAGAGACACACAGAGAGAGAAAGAGAGGAAAUUUAAUAUUGUGGGAUCCAUGUUAAUUAAUUAUUUUUUAAUAUUAUAAAAUUAUAUGACAACUUUAAUAUUAACCGGUAGAUAAAUUUUAAUUCAAUGGAUAAAUGUUUGUGUAUGAAAUUAUAUUCCUUGAACAUGUAUGACAAGUGUGUAUGAAAUUAUAUUCUAAUGAGGACAUUUUCAUUUUAAUAAAGUGAGAAUACUAUUAAGAGAAAAAAAACACAAUUUUUAAUAUGUUGAAAUCUAUAUUUUUUUAAUUUGGUGACAUCCUCAUUUUAACAAUGUGAAAAUGUCCUCAUUAGAGAAGGACCGUCUCUCUCUAUAUAUGAGUUAGUUUCCAUUAAAAAUCUCACAUUUUAAUUAAAGUAUGAAAUCCUAAUUAGAGUCAUUAAAAUAUGCUUAUAAUAACACUAUGUGUAAAUUUUAAAAUAAAAAAUAAUAAGUCAUUAGAUUCAAAUCCAAUGAUCCAAAUUAAAAUCUUGUGUUUUAACAAAGUUCUAAAAUUAUUGAUCAAACUUAUCUCUCUCUUACUCCCUCCAUAAAUAUAAUAUACAUUUUGGAUGUAUGCAUAUAAUUGCAUAAAAACAAACCUGAGAUGAACUCGACCCGUAACAAGCGCUUUAUUUGCAAAAAAAAGUGUCGAAAUGUCACAAGUCUUUAUUUAUACAUAUAUUUAUAAUCAAACAUAGCUGGACGCUUAAAUUUUAUCGUCCGGCUUUUAUUUUUUAUUUUUUUUAUUACGUCCGGCUUUUAUAUUAAGUAUAAAGAAAGAAGGAUUUUUGUCUAGUGUGUGAUGUGAUGUUACGCGCGUGUAAAAAUAUAAUUGGCCUCUCGCACCGUAUGAGCCCUCUCUUAAAAUAUGCAACAUGGUGCUUGAUUGAGUGAAAUGAUUGGUCUUGCGAAAAAAUAAAUAAAUAAAGCCAGUGAAAAGAACGUGUUGGUGGAUAGGUCACGAAAAACAAGUAAUAAAUUCGAAAUUCCACAGCCAAAAAAAAAAAAAGUCAAAAUAACUAACUACUCUGGAAAAAAAAAGUUUAAAAAAUGACCAAGCAGUCAAGCACCUAAGGAAAGGCAUUGAUUUGCGGUGACAUAAACAACUACGAUUACACCAUUCCCCCUACACCAACUCGUCUUUAAGUGAUCAGGCUGGGCCAGGCCGCUUCUAUUGAUCAAACUCAACCUCACAUUCACACUCACACAGGCUGUCCUGUUCAAGAGUUGAAUUUCAAACGUCAGAGAUAGUUAAUUAAUGGCUGAAAAUAAUGAAAAAGCAGGUGGAGGUGGUGGCGGUAAAGACGAAGCAGGUGGUGUGUGGAAAGGUCCAGAGUUCAGGAUUCAUCUUCAGGGAAAGAAGAUUGGUGAUGUGCAGGUCAGGAUUGUACGCAAGAAGGAGCUCCUAAUAACUGAGCGUGACAGUAUGGAUUUGAUUACGCGUUCCAAGUUGCCGAAAAGGGUAAGUACUAAGUUUACGCAUUUCAUGAAGGAUGGCUUCCUCGUUGUUAGUUUCGAGAGAUUGAGCUUCGGGAGAAAAGUUUGGAAAGUUUUGCUUGGCGGAGCGAUUCUUGUUGGUGCUGUUUUUGGUUGCGUAACUGAUGUUGAAAGUAUGGCAGAUCGCCAACGCAGUGGAAAUGAUGAGGUGAAUAUUGACGACGGCCAGUAGUGAGCAGUGAGCACAUAGUAGGAGCCAGAGCCAGGUGGAGGAGAAAAUUUUAGAUAGCUUGUUCUGCUUUCGUUUCACAGCUUGCAUGCAUGUCAUGUACAUGUUGAUCUAGCUAGUUUCCUGUUUGAAUAAAUAAAAUUUUGUAGUUAAGGCAUGCUUCAGUCGUCACAUUUAGUAAUCUACGGGCUUUUCUCUUUUCUUCUGCAAUUAUAAAAAUGUAUGAAUCAGAUGUGUCUAUGUAUGUUUAUAGUCCGGAUUGAUGUUCAUUUAAUUCCUAUAUUUUGGUUUAAGUAUUUGUUUGAUUCUUAUGUUUUGAAAAAUACACUCUAAAAUAUGCUACACUCAUGUUCUUACUUUUUUUUUUUUUUUGCUUUUACAAUAAUAUCUUUGAUACAAUAUUCUUGACAUUAUUUAAUUUAUCUAUUGAAAGAAUUAAUUAUUUACUAGUAAAUUAAUCAAUAAAUAUCAAUUUAAAUGAACUAGUAUUUUUCAUGUCCUUACAACAAUCUUACUAAUAAUUAUUUAUAAAUAAAUUAACAUCAGUAAACUUUAAGCAAUGUUUAGUAUCCUUACAACUAUGUUACUAAUGAAUUAUUUAAAAAAAUUAAUUUACAAAACUAAUCAUAAAAGAAAACUAAUAAUAAAAAAAUUUACACUAAUUUUUAUUUUACUUUUAAGGCAGAUUUGAUAAAUUAACAUUUUUUUAUUUUCAUCAAUAUCCCCAAGAACAUUAACGUAAAAGUAAAGAAAAAAUAAAGGUUGGAGUGUAAUAUAAUUCAUUACAAGAAUGUCUUAAGAUAUUUUUUAAAAUAUAAGAAUUAAACGACUAUUUAACUUAAAAUAUAAGAAUUAAAUAAGUAUUUUUCCGAUAUAUUCCAUACACUGCUAAUAAGAAAUUUCUUACUAAAUUAAAGAAAGAAAAAUAUAAAUUCUCCGAUAUAAAUUUAUGUGCAGACUUUAAUUCCUAACUGCUAGAUGUAUCGCAUCGCAUGGCAAAACAAAAAGUUCUAACAUUUGAAUUAAAAUAUAUUAAAAAGUAGACUAGAAGCUGAAUAUAUCGCUUAUUUAAUUUUAAGAGACUUGUCUUGGCCCCUCUCCAUAAUAUGCUCUCCAUCCCACCGUCCAUUCAACAUAUCGAUCUCUUCGCUAUCCAUCUCUCACGUCCAUCCCAAAGGCUCUAAAGUUAACCGGGAUUGAACAGGGUACAUGACAACAAACACUAGCACUACUAACGUGAUGUUUACUAAGGCUUUAUUUACCCUUAAUAAUAAGUAAUUUACAAAGGUUAAAAAAAUUGUUUGUAAACAUUAAAACAAAAAAACCAUUGGUUUUUUUUUCAAGGGCAAUUUGCUCUGGGUAAUGAAGAAUACACUGUUUAGAAAUACAAGGGCUCAAUUAAGGUUAAAUUUUCUGAAGUUAGACCUAAUGUUAGUGAUAUGUUUAAAAAUAAAAGAGUAAUGUUGAAAGCACAUUUUUGUGCUAAAAUUCAACGGAAGGCAGUUAUAAAGGGCUUCUACAUUUAAAGACAGCCAUACAUUAGCCUUUUUUUCUUCUUUAAUAGUGUUUUCUCUCUUAAUGGGAGAACUCUGAAUGGAAGCUAAAUUGGAUUUUUAUGAUCCGGAGUGAUGCUCACUAGUUGAGCAUUAACUCUCUUGUUCUUUUUAUUCCUUCUUUUCAUUUUCAUUUUCUUUUUAAAGAUUUUUUUCUUUAGGUUGGGCUUAAAUGGUAGGUGUAAGUAUCAAAGGAAAAGAUGAAAGAGUUGAAAGACAAAGAUGGAGACUUAAAACAAAGGAGAGUGGUGGGGUUGGUAAGUGCUUUAUUCAUGCCUUAAUUACACUGAUAGUUCGUAUUCAAAUGCCAUUGAAACAGAUGAAUUAAUAAGAAAGUGCAAUGCUAUAACUCUAGAAGAAGAGAAAGAAGACAAAGUUAUUUUUUAGGGUAGUAUGAAGGAAAAAGGAGCUAAUAUCGCUGCAGGCUGCUUAGUGGGAAAAAUUUUUAUUGCUAGAGGCAUUAGUCACGAGUGUAUUAGAACAACUCUAUAACAAAAUUUCAUGUUCAUGUUUUCUUUAGAAGAAGACAAGCAAAGAGAGUUAACUAGAGGACCUUGGUAUUUUGAUCGAACUCUUAUUGUACUCCAAGACCCAAGUGGUAUAGACAACAUUAGAGAGCAACCAUUUUCACAUGUCUCAUUUUAGGUACAACCGCAUAAUGUGCCUUUGAUGUGUGUGGGUAUAAGCUCAAUCUGUGAAAUGGGAUCAAAGAGAGGAAAAGUAAAAAAAAAAUGUAGCUACGGAUGCAAAAGGUGAUUGCUUUGGCGAAUACAUGCGAUUCAGAAUCUCAAUAGACAUUACACAACAUUUGAAGAAGAUCUUAAGAAUUGAACAAGAAGAUGAGAAAGAAAUUCCAACUGGGGUGGUUUAUGAAAAGCUGCUAAAUUAUUGAUUUUGUUAUGGUUAUAUCGGGCAUCAAUACAAAAGUGCGCUAAGUAUAAAGGACAACCAAAAGAAGAGUUGGCGUAUAGGGUUUGGUUUAAAGCAGUUCCACUGGCUGAUCGUAUGAAAUUUUAGAAGAGAAAGGAAAGCGAAUAUAGGGAACAACAAAGAUAAACGAAAGAAGUGCAAAUUCAGAAAGCUCAUGCAUCUGCCAUCUACAAAAACUAAACGCAAGUGGUGAAAAUAGGUUAGGGUCAACCCAAUACCAAGAAGAAGCACGAAGCCCAGAAAUUGAUUUCAGUCACAUGAAGGAGGAAGUUGAGGAAACAUUAAUGAUCCAAGGGAAAGAAUCGAGAGGAUAUAACGUUUAUAGCAAAAAGGAGCACUAUGUAGAUAGAAAUGAGGAGGCAUUUGAAAGCUUGUGUCAAAAAGUUGGAAUCACAAAUGAAAGUGAAAAUUUGGAGGGAAAGAAUGUGAGUAAAAAUUAUUAGGUGAGCCAAAAAGUUUACGAGCCCAAAGUAUUCUCUACAGUGCAAAUGGGUUCUGAUGAAGAUGCGGUAGAUAAUGAGUUAUGUCUAAUGUAGCCUAAAAAGCUAAUGGAAAACCCAAGCUCGAAACUUAAACAAAAAAAAAAAAAAAACACCAAAGUGGUGCCGAGUUCUUCUAAGCAGGCUAGUUAUGAUACAAAAAUGACAAUUCCAAAAAGCAAGAAAACAAAGAUGGCAAGCCUGAGUGAGAGUACCCAAAAUAUGAUAUUAUGUAAUUCUCCCUCAGUAAAGUUCAAACUAAGCUGGGAUAUAAUAGUUAUGGAGGUUGUAGAGUUGACAGAGUCAGUGAUGAAAGAGAUAUUAGCAGAGGUUGGCAUCUAGCCCCUAUCGACAGCCAUGAAAAUCAUAAGUUAGAACAUUCGGGGUUUGGGGAAUACCUAGAUGUUCUUAACUUUAAAAGGUAUUCUUCAAGAACACACGCCUUAGGUUCUUUUUGUAUGUGAAAUGAAGAUGAAGCUGUGCAGAUGACAAAUAUGAGAAAAAACCUAGGGUUUGAUAAUCGCUUUAAUAUUAGUAGGAGUGGUAUGGGAGGUGGAUUGAUAAGGUUAUGAAACAAUAAAGUGGGUGUGAAUAUCACUUCUUACAGUAAUCAUCAUAUAGAUGCUGUGAUUCAUGGGGAAUGACAAGAAUUUGAAAUGCACCAGAAUUUAUGGCCAUCCACAAAUUAAACAAAAAAGACACAUUUGAACAUUGUUAAGAAGGUUAAAGAGGCUUGCAAGUCUCUCUCUCUCUUUCUCCCAUGGAUGCGAUUUGUUGACUUCAAUGAAACUUUGAACUUGAAUGAAAAAUUAGGUGGCAAAGACAUAAACUCGAGUAUGGUGGCUGAAUUUAAAAAGGCUAUAAAUGACUGUAAUUUGGUGGAUUUAAGAUGUAAACUUUAUCCUUUCACUUGGUCCAAUAGAAGAUUUAGACCUCAUUUUGUUGAAGAAAGACAUGUAGAUUCUUUGGGAGUAAGGAUUAAGAGAAUGACCUUAUGAGCUAACAGUUUCUAAUUUGAAUACAUGGUGCUCUGACCAUAGCCCUAUUAUUUUAGAAAUGCAUGAGCGAAAAAAGAAAAGUGUGAGGUAUAAAAAGAGAUCUUGCCGAAGAAUUCAUUGUGAGGGAAUAUGAAUCCGUUAUGAAGAUUGUAGGGGUAUGGUGAAAAAGGAAUGAAUGAAAUGUGGCAAUUAGAGUGGAUGAAAUCAUGUUAAAAUCUUUAAAAAGACAACUAGCACUUUCACGGCUCAAUUGCAGAUAUAGAGUAAGAAAGGCCUCAAUGGCAUAAAAGAAAAGUUGAAACAUUUGAAGAACAAGCCCUUAGAAAUAAAGUACAGUUUUUAACAGUACGAAGAAUUGAUGAGAUCAGAUGCAUCGAGGAUAGAUUGAAAGAGCACUAAUUGAUGAGGAAGUAUAUUAGAAGCAAAGAUCUCGAGUUGACUGGCUAAAGGAAGGGAAUGAGAAUACAAAGUUUUUCCACUUAAAAGCUUUUUCAAAGAAGAGGAAGAAUCGAAUUUGGAGAGUCAUGGACCAGCAGGAUGUUGAGUUGAAGAUAGAGAGGAGAUUGAUAGAGAGUUUUGUGAAUGCUUUACAAAUCUUUUUAGAGCAUCUAGCUAAAUAGAUGUGCAAAUUGAGACAAAACUUGCGAGCUUGGUAUCAAAGAUGAAUUCAGAUAUGAAUGACCAAUUGGAUCUGCCUUUCAUAGAAGAAGAAUUAUGGACAUCCCUUUCUGAAAUGUGCCCAACCAAAGUCCGUGGACCUGAUAGACUGCCAAUAGCAUUUUUUUCUUUUUAAAAGCACUAGGACUCAGUAACGUUUGAUGUCAUCUCUACUUGCCUCUAUAUCCUGAAUGAUAGAGGUACAUUUGCUCCACUUAAUCACACACACAUUGUAUUGAUCCCAAAAAUUCAUAGACCACAGAAGGUGACAGAUUUAGACCAAUAAGCUUGUGUAAUGUCAUUUACAAGAUUGUAGCCAAAAUAAUUGCAAAUAGGCUAAAACAUAUCCUUCACCAAGUUAUUUCCUCAACUCAAAGUGCAUCCAUCCCCAAGAGACUGAUUAGUGAUAAUAUCAUUAUUGGUUAUAAAUUUUUGCAUAAAGUUAGAUAUAGUAAAGGAAAGAAACAUGGAUUGAUGGCACUAAAAUUAGAUAUUAGAAAGGCUUACAAUAGAGUAGAGUGGAGUUUUUCGAAGCCCACAAUAUUAAAGCUAGUUUCUCUAGCAAAUAGAUGGACUUAAUUAUGAAUUGUAUUACCAUUGUUUCUUUUUCUGUUCUUAUAUGGGAUUGAUUCAACCUCAAAGAGGACUUAGAUAGGGCUAUACUCUAUCUCCUUGCCUUUUCAUACUGUGUACAUAAGCUUUUUCCAAACUCUUUGUGUAGGCAGAACACCAAAGACUUAUUCAUAGGCUUCAUUUUGGGAAAGAUGCAACAACCCCAUCUGUUAUUUGCUAAUGGCAGCCUAAUUUUCACCAGAGCAAUAGCGGAGGAUUGUAAACUCUUAAAAGGCCACUUUUGAAUGUUACGAUAAAGCUUCUGGACAGAUCUUCAACUUCAAAAAAUCAUCUAUGUUCUUCAGUGACAACACAAAAAUCCACUGAAAAUAUCAACAGCAGAAUAACAUAUUUUGUUUAAGCUAUAGCUUUAAUAUUUGUAAUGGUUGUAAAUAGUGUAAAAUGCCAAAUUCAAGGGAUAUCUUCAGAGAUAUCACACGAACUAAAGGUGAUUGGAUUUAUUACCACUGAACCUAAUCAUUUUCACGAUAAUAAAUCUUACUGAUGCUAUUAUUCCACCCAAACACAUAAAUAGAAAAAUCUGAAGAAGGCCUCCUACAAUGGCAAUUGCUGGAACAACCCGAAGCUAUAAUCAUGAACUGAAACUUUCAUGACAACUGAACAGGAAAUAAAUUGAAAGGAUGAAUGUUAAAAAGAAGACAAGCAAACCUUUGCCAUAGAAAAUUCAAGGCCCAAUGCAAAGAGAAGGAAAAUCACACCAAAUUGAGCUACUGUUUCAACCUGAAUGAAAAUAACCAUCAGAAUAUGGAAGCGAUAUGCAAAUUAGAAGCAAGGAUAUUUGAAAUGUACAAAAUGAAGAGUGAAACAAACUUAUUCUAAUAUGGAACUUUAUCAAGGUGGAAAAUAAUAUAAAACCUGUAUGUUCCAGCUGGAUCAUACUUUCUUUUCGUUUCAUUAAGUAUAAUGUCAGAAAGGACCAGUUUUAUUUGGUCAAUUGUCGUAAUGAUUUGCAGAUCAGCGGUUAAUAAUGGGCUUCUAAGGGAUUAAAUGCUUAUCAUUUCUUCUGACAUGGGCAUAUCUCGUACACAAGAAAAUUGUUAAUGAACAGCGAGCAUACGGAAAAAAAAAUAUAACACAAAAGUUCUAGAGUUAUUCUGACCAAACCGAGCUAUGAGAGAAUUGUAUGAAUGCAUUAAACCUUCCCCACAACUUUUAACUAAAUCAACUAAAAAUAGGAAGGGGGGAAGAGAACUGGGCCAGCAUAUAUGCAAAAGUAGCAUACCUGCACCAUCUUGCUGACAAAGCUGAAACCCCCAGGGCCAAUGACAGAUCCUGCUAGCAAAUAUCUAGUAAUAACCUGCAAAAAUGUGAAAAAUUGAAAUAUUCUCCUUAAGGAGCAACGUAUAAAAGUUGCCCAAACCAAAUUCUCUCUGAGACUCCAAAUCCUAUGGAUCUACAACAUAUAUCCCCAAAAAACUUUAUAAACCAACAAGAGUGUAGUUUAUAUGAACAAAAAUAAAGGAGAAAUAUUGGUCUCACUGGUUGCCCGGCACAAGCGAAGGCAAUGCCACCACAAGUUGCAGAAACGAUAAGUCGAUAACAACAACCAGAUCAGAUAUCAACCUGCGACUACAGCAUUUAGAGGACAUUGGAAUCGGCAACAAGCAGGUACUUUGACUUUGGAUUGAAUUUAAACAGAAGAGGCAAUAAUCUAACCUCAAAUCCAGUUAUAGCACGGGAUACUUUGACUUUGGAUUGGAUAUAAUAAAGUCAUUGUCCUGAUUGGAAAAAAAUUAAAAUCUAAUCAACUCAAAUGCUGUCCGGUCAAAGAUUAUAGUUGUUCGAGGCCAAUGCCAAUCAUAUCGGCGAAGCUAUCUUCCUUGGAUCCUGUAUUGUUCAACUCGGUUGUAGUGGCGGUGGCCGUGGCCGUGGCAUUGAUCUCGGAGUCCAACUCGGUGACGGACUCGGUCGACGCGAAGCAGAGCAGAAAAGAAACAAUGACGAGCAGCGUGAGGAAUAUCCUCAUUGCUAAAAUUUUGUCUAUCAAAACGCAGCGUUUUCGUCUUCGUCUUGUUUUGUUUUGUCGAGAACGAACAAAGGAGAGGAAAAUUUGUUUGUUAUUUUUGUUCUUUCACUCGGUGGUAUCUGUCCGUGUGGUUGUUGCUGACAGUAGCUGCGGAGUGAUGUCAGUCAAAUGAUGGGAAGUGGCAACUGCUGUUAAUGAAUUUUGUUAUCGUUACGUGCGCGACACUGCGCGUUUGGUUGUCAGAGGCAAUGAGUUGGAAACGUUGCUAUUUUAUUGCGGCAUACUUGACCCGAGAAAAUGGCCCGAUUUAUUGAGGCGGACUCCGAUUUGCGAUUACGCCAUAACCGCCGUACCUUUUUAUCUGAAAAGUGAAAUGAAAGCAAAGGGAAUGAUUUUCUAACUGAUUCAAUAAUGUAAUGGGAAAUGAAUUGAUUGUUUAUAAAGAUAUUUUCAGAAGUACAAACGUAAGUAAAUUGAAAACUUUAAUAUAAUUUGAUAUCUUCUUAUUUUUUAAAAAAUA
rnacentral:lncRNA from 1 species